rnacentral:lncRNA from 1 species
UGAUUCAACAAGUAGUAGAACAAGCCAUAUGAGUCGAAGUUUAUCCAUUCCUUUUACCUUCGGGAUAAAAGCGAUAUCUGUGGGCCCCUCGAUGAUUUGAUGAUGACAAAUGGAAGUGCUCGGCCGGGCCAGGACUGAUUUGAUUUGUUCAAUUAGUCAGUCGUCAUAAAUCGGAAAUCGGGAAACAACAAAUGGACAGAGAGAAUGAUUAUAAUCCAUGUCUCAGUCCAUAUGAUAUCUAGAAUGGAGGAAUAUAUGAUCCCUUAUCUAAUGGACAAGUCAUUGACAAAGGUCAGAGUUCAUCUACAAGGUCAGAGUUCGACAGAAGCUUUUGAGAGCUACGAUUGCCAGUUGGUUCCUGAAGUCAUACGCAAUAAUAGUUUUAGACUUAUCCAAGUGGGAGACUGUUGGAUUAAUGUCUAAGUCCAUAACUAUAAUUGGUAAGACUUGACCCGACCCGGCAUGGUCCAUUUGGGUUGCAUACCAUCAUGCACUUGGAUAGACUAUAAUGAGAGAAAUAAGACACUUAUGGUUAUUAAUAUAUUAUAAGUUCUAGUAUAUUAAUAAUAAGAAUAAUAAGAUUAUUUAAUUAGUAUUGAUCAAGAAUUAAUCUAGGAUUAAUUAAGUGAUCAAAAGAAGACUAAUUAAAUAUAUGGGUUGAUUGUGUAAAUCAUCCAUACUUGUAUAGUGGGCUAAUGCUCCAUGGAUAAUCAAGUUGGGCUAAAACCCAUAGGAUGGUCCAUGGAUGCUCCAUGGUGUAUUUGUACCCAUGGAUCAUGGAAAUGAAAGGCCAUGUCAAUUAGGGUUUACAUGGUGUAACCCUAACUAUAUAAGCAUCUUAUUCUUGACCAAAAUCAGCACUAGUGUGUGGUGUGAAAGGGCUAGCCGAUUUCAUGAGUUGUAGAAUUCUCUCAAGUUAUUCUAAGUGUUUUGGUGAUUGUGAACCAUUUGAGGUGUCACACUUGGGGCACUUGGCACUCAAGCUUCAUGAAGACUUUCUACACCAAAGAGGUAUGUAUUCUAUCUUGCUAUAGUUAUUGUUUUGUAUGCUAGAUUAGGAUAAUACCUUGGAAGUUCUUAUUUGCAUGUAUAAUAGAGAAAACAUAGAUCCAAGGUAUUUAGGGUUGCAUGUACACUUAGGAGUGUUAGAAUGCUCAAAACCCAACAGAACAUUCGUGUGAAUCCAGUGUCAAACUAAGGAAACUGAUUUUUAAAAAGACAAGAAAGGAAAUAAUAAUCUUCAUAUAUUUUCAAAAUAAUUAAAGAGGAUUCGAUGUGUACGAUCAGCUGGAGCCAGUGAGUAAACCCCAAAUUACCACACUAUUACUUGGUUUUGUGAUAUGUUAGAAUAACAUGAUAGUGAUAAGAUAGGGAUGUUCAGGAAUUGCAUUAUAAAACUACCUGAUUAUAUGAUACCUAAUAGCCUAGGGUUUUCCUUAUAUGAAAUUGACAUCAUUACUGUAGUUGAUUAGUGUAUGCAUCAUAGUUGUACAUAACGAAUAUUCUACAGUCUGAGAAUGUUUGGUUUGGCCUUAUUUCCUGUUCUUGUUUGAUGAAGGGCCUAGGGUAGAAUAAGGUAUUUGACUGUAUAUAGGAUCUAGGGUUAUGUAUGAUUAGCAUACACGAGUGUUGCAGGGUUGGUGGAAAUUCCAUAGAUGUGUUGUGUGAGGUCAGUCGGCCAGUUUCGUAAUGAUUCACUUUCCUCUAGGAAUUGAGGACUGAGUGUAUGCACGUGCUAGUGUGUAUUGUUAGGGUUGUUGUGAUGAUCCUCUUAUACAAAUACAGGUGGUUGUGGAGGGUAUUAUGGUCCCGUACUACUGGAAGAAAAGGACCUGUAUGCAUAAUAGGGAAGUCACAACCCUUAGGGAUUUAUUGGGAGUUGGUUCCAUUGGUAUGAAUUGUGUGUUAUCUGAUAUCUCCUCGGUUUACUUUCAGUAUGGUGAUGAUGUGACAUUUCGAGGUAGGAUCCGGAUCGGGAUCAGGGGCAGGUGGCCAGAAUGGGCCGACUGUGUUCGAGGAUAGGAUUAGGGAGAUCCUUCAGGAGGCGUUUAUUUAACACUUUCGGGCACACUUUCCAGAGAUGUUUAACUCUAUUAAGACCGCCAUGGUGGAAUACUUUGAUGAGCGAUACGAUGCCCUCUCUGAGGCUGCUGUUGCUGCAGCCACUACAGAUGUUACUGGUACUGGGGUUGGUACUUUGAGGGUCUUCCAGUAUCAAGACUUCAACAAUACAAAGCCCCUGAGUUUUGAUGGAGUUCAGGAUCCAAUCAUAGCCAUGAGGUGGUUGUAUGACUUUGAGGCGUACUUCCUCAUUUUCUCUUGCCUAACUGACUAGAAGGUCAGGUGCGCUCUGAACCUUCUGAGGUCCGGAGCAAAGGAUUGGUGGAGACAUGUUACCAACCCGUAUUCUCCUGAGUAGAGGACUACAGUGACUUGGGAGCAGUUCUCGGAGAUGAUUCGUUCUAGAUAUGUUCCGCUGGUGGAACGUGAGAGGUUGGAUCAAGAGUACUUGGAUUUGAGACAGGGAACAUAAUCGGUGAUGGAGAUCACCAAGAUGUUCCUAGAGAGGGCCAUGUUUUAUUUUGAUUUUGCUGCUUCUGAGCAAGCUCAGAUGACCCGUUACUUGAGCAUGCUCAAGAUGGACAUCAGACAGUUUGUAUCCACUCAACGUUAUGCUUCAUUUUUGGAGUUGCAGCAGGCCGCCACGUAGCGUGAGAUUGAUAUGGAGCUCUAGACGAGGGAGCAGAGACCGGCCCCGACAUAGUCGCAACCUACGUCGAAGCGGUUCAAGGCCACUAAUGUCAGACCUGGGGUUCAGAAGGGACCCACUUGUAGGAAGUUCGACAAGGUUCAUGAGGGUGCUUAUCGAUCAUCUUCUUGGUGCCACAAUUGUGGCCGACAGGGCCAUAUGGCGCAGGAUUUCCGCCAACAGGCCCCACCACUCAGCUCCGGGAUUUGUUACCACUGCAACGACACUGCCCAUGUGAAGGCCAACUAUAGCUUGCUUGCUUCUAGGAUGGUGAAGGUCCCAAUUUCGGCUACUCUAAGGAUCACGGAUAUGAGCCAGGGCAGGGAGGAGCUCCCGAGGGCUCGAGGUUGCACUUUCCAACUCAUGAUAGAGGAGGCCAGAUCGACACUAGACGUCAUGACCGGGACAUUUCUACUUAUUAUUCUGUUGAUUGUAUUUUAUGUUAUGCUCAUAUAUAUUCUCCUAAUAGGUACGUUCUUCACGAACUAUUUGCCUACUUUUGUGUUAUUUGACUCAGGCGCGAGUCGGUAUUUUGUAUCUCAAUCUUUCAGUAGGGUGUUUGAUAUGUCUAUUGGGGAGUGAGAGUGUCUGUUGAGAGUUUCCAUUGCCAACAAACAUAGGGUUUCUGCAUCCGCGGUGUAUCAUGGUUGUAAAUUAGAGAUAUUCGGGGUGCCUUAUCCUAUUGAUUUGAUCAAUAUCCUCAUGGGGGUGUAUGUGUGACUGGGGGUAUGGACUAGCUAAGCAGGUUUGGUGUCAUGAUUGAUUGUGAGGGCUAGCGAAUGGUAGUUCGAACCCUAAGUGAGGGAGAAUUGGUUAUCUAUGGGGAUGGUACCAGGGUUGGUUCAGCGUUUUGUUCGGCAUCUAGGGCUCAUCAAUAUAUUCAACACGGGUGUGCAGGUUAUUUGGCUUAUAUGGUUAAUACUCAGAUUGGGGAUCAAAUUUUAAUUUUCAAGGUUCCAGUUGUCCAGGAGUUUGUUGAUGUAUUCCCGUAGGAGUUACCCGGUGUACCUCCUUAGAGGCAGGUUGAGUUCAGGAUUGAUCUUGUGCCAGGUGCGGCCGUGAUUGCCAAGGCGUCAUUGUAACACCUGGAAACCAGAAGGCUAAUUAAGGAAAGAUAUGAUGCAAAUUAAAGGUCUACUUGCCGAGUCCUAGGGGACAACUCGACAAGUAGAAAUAAGCUUUUGGGACGCAGGUUGAGAAAACCAACUCGACGAGUUGGUAUGGGUUUGGAAAGCCCUAGAUUUGGGGUUUUACACCCUAUUAAAGCAUCUUAAUCCGCACCUUAUAUCCUCAUUUCCAGCCUCCAGUGUCCAAACCCUAAUCCACAAAACCCUAAUGCUUAUGAACCAUUUUGAGUGAACCUUGUCUGAUUUGAAGCUUAUAGAAGAAGAAGAAGCUUGAGAAUUCCAAGAGAAGAUUGUAGAUCGAGAAGCAACAUCCCAUCCUCAUACUUUUUUGGUAAUCAAGCCUCUAACUUGUCUAGUAGUCUCUUAGAUCUCCUUGUUUCACUUUAUGUGGGUUUUUGGUCCAAGAAGCUUAGACCUUGGGAAUUGGACAUCCCAAGUGGAUUAUCUUUAAGGUCUGGGAUCUAGAAGGGGUUACAUAGCUUAAAGGUGCAAACUUUAAGACCAUGGAAGCCCCAUUCAAGCUUUCAGGUGUUUUUAUUGUUGGAUAAGGUGUCUAAGUCUAUAACUAUUUCUGGUAUGUACUUGACCCGACCCGGUAUGGUCCAUUUUGGUUGCAUGACAUCAUGCAUUUGGAUAGACUAAAUGAGAGAAAUAACACUUGUGGUUUAUUAAUAUAUUAUAAGUUCUAAUAUAUUAUUAGUAUUAUUUAGUUAGUAUUGAUCAAGAAUUUAUUUGGAAUUAAUUAAGUGAUCAAAAGAUAACUAAUUAAAUAUAUAGGUUGAUUAUGUAAAUCAUCCAUAACUUGUAUAGUGGGCUAAAAGGCUCCAUGGAUUAUGAAGUUGGGUUAAACCCACAGGAUGCUCCAUGGGAGUUACAAACCCAUGGGUCAUGGAAAUGAAAAGUCAUGUCACAUUAGGGUUUAAAAGGUGUAACCCUAGAUGUGACACACUAUAUAAGCAACAUGUUCUCUACCAAAAUCGGCUACACUAAGUGACAAGAGGGCUAGGCUGAUUUUUAGAGUGUUACAUAUUCUCUCUAAUUCAUUCCAAAGCAUUUGGUGUUGUGUGAAGCAUUUGAGGCAUCACACUUGGGGUGCUAGGCUCUCAAGGUUUUCAAGGAAUCAAAUCAACUACAAGGUAUGUAAUUCUAGCCAUCUUUUAGUUUAAAAGGUAUGUAAAUCUAGCCAUCUUUUUUCUAGGGUUGCAUGUAUACUUAGGAAGUGUUAGAAUGCUCAAAACCCAUCAGUGGUAUCAGAGGCUAGCCUUGUUUGUGAAUACUUGAUGUAAAAUAGUGUUGAAAAUCGAAUUUUUGCUGUCUGCACAGGGGACUCGAUGAGACCAUGGGGAGGACUCGACGAGUCCAAGUGAAAAUGUAACCAACUCGGCGAGUCAGUUCGUGCACACGACGAGUUGGCCAUGCAGAGUGCAGUUUUUCGAUUUUUGUUGCUGGAAAUGGACUAGAAACAUUACCCUAAACUGUUUUAGUUUUACAAAACUUAUUUUAGAUGGUUUAAUGGUUGUUCUAAUCCAUUUACAAUGGCUAAUAUCAAAAUUACAUGAUUAUAUGUGUUCAUAUGUUUUUGAAAUUUUGAUAUGAAUGUUCAUGAUCUUAUGAGUUCUUGAUAGAUCAUAGGAAUUACUUGUUUAAUGAUUAAUUCAUGAUCUUUAUCUGUUUUAAAGGAGUCCAUAACUUAUCCUCAAGUUAUGGAUAACCAAAAGUCUCUUUGUGUUAAAAGCCAUUAAAAAAGAGUCUUCAUUUUAAUAACUCCUAAGUUAUGAAUGUGAAAGGUUUUGUAAAGUUACAAAACUUGCCCUCAAGUUUUGGAACAUGUAAAGUCACUUGAUAAACUUUAGUUCCAACCCCUAGAUUUUUAAAAGUUAAAAAUCAACCCUUAUACUUUAUAAUAUUAUAAGUUAAUAAUAUAUAUAUNNNNNNNNNNNNNNNNNNNNNNNNNNNNNNNNNNNNNNNNNNNNNNNNUCGGCUUACCGUUAGUAGGCCUCAUUUACGAAGCCGGUCUAUAAUGGGGGUAUAAGAUUGCUGCCUAUAAAAUGGCAGCUUAAUGGGUGUCCACUCUCACCCAUCGCUUCCUUGAUCGGUGGAGGGUCGUUAGCCGAACGGGUAGGACAAGGACUUAUAAAUUCUCAUUAAAAAGUAUGAUGAAUAUUAUAAAGUAGACAAAACUUCAAAAAUGGUCCCUGUGGUUUUCGAAAAUAUCAAGUUUAGUCCCUAAGUUCAAAAAACCUCACAGAUCGUCCCUAUGGUUUCAAAACUUUUAACAUUUGGUCCUUCCGGCUCACUCCGUUACCAUUUAGCCGUUAAGUCAGGGGCAUUUUUGUCAUUUCAUUACCCAGGGACCAUUUAUGAGGUUCUCUAUUACUUUAAAAAAAGAAAAUAAAUAAAUAAAAUUUAAUAUGCAAGGGCCCCACCCCUUCUCUCUCUCUCUCUCUCUCUCUCCAAUAUAUGAUCAAGUGCCAGAUCAUGUUAAGCCCGAUAAUUACAUCCCCAUUACUCGCUAAUAAUCAACAUCCCUUGAAGAAUGAAAAUAAACACAGAAGAAAUCAAGUUCCUUUCUUUAUUCACUUGUAGCUAGAUGUCUGUAUGAUGAUGUUCUUGUUGCUUUUUGGUGCUAGUUUCGAUUGAUCUGCAGAAAUGAUGAGAAGUGUAUACUCCACAGUGAACAAUUCCAAUCUCACCUCCAAUUUCCUACUGUAACAUGUUGAAUUUCUUCACUCGAUUCAUAACCCAUUUUAAUGGCAUAAAACCCGACUGCUUUUGAACCUUUCUUUCUGGAAUCGAUCAGAUGCAUAACCCAUUCUUCAGUGUGUUUCUGCAACUAAAAACAGCCCCCCCUAUAAGACACCUUCUUUAUCAGAUCUACUUCAUCAACUUCAUUAUCAGAUCUACUUUUGAUUACCAAAUUUCCACCUAUCGUCGAUCUCCUUCUUUUUCAUCUUUUCCAACUCCUGUAAUUUCAUUACAUUCAAGAAGAAAUCAAUCAUGACAGUUUCAUAAGAAGGCAAUUUCUCGUAACCUGGGAAGUAAUUCAUAUCAAUCACCAGAUACCCAUCUCCUUCACCAUCUCUAAUCAUAUCGAAAUUAAACAGGUACAAUCCAAGAUCCUUUCUCAGACCCUUCGCUUCCUCAACGAGGAAUUCAAGCGUCGACCUCUUUAGCUCCUCACCGGAGUUAUUAUUACUCCUUCUGUCGUCACCAGCGAUUACAACACUUGAUAUCCGAGAGAAACUUAUAGUGCCUGGGAGAAGACGAUUUGGAAUCGGUUUUCAAGGGUUGGAUCGAUGAGACUACUAAUCCUGGAACUCGUCUUGUUGUUGCUGUCAACAAGCUUAAUCAAGAAAGGGGAGAAGAUAGUAGAAGCAAAAGGGGAAGCCGGCAGUCACAAAACAGAGAUGGGUUUGAUUUGGAGAGAGAGAGAGAGAGAGAGAGAGAAGGGGUGGGGCCCUUGCAUAUUAAAUUUUAUUUAUUUAUUUUCUUUUUUUAAAGUAAUAGAAAACCUCAUAAAUGGUCCUUGGGUAAUGAAAUGACAAAAAUGCCCCUGACUUAACGGCUAAAUGGUAACGGAGUGAGCCGGAAGGACCAAAUGUUAAAAGUUUUGAAACCAUAGGGACGAUCUGUGAGGUUUUUUGAACUUAGGGACUAAACUUGAUAUUUUCGAAAACCACAGGGACCAUUUUUGAAGUUUUGUCUAUAAAGUAACUAAAUGUUUUAUUAAAUUCCCAAUCUUAGUUACUUUAGGAAAAAUUGAAUAAGGUGUUAAUCCAUGAAAUUACACUUUACACUUUGAUUAUUUCGUUAGUGGAGUGUGUGUGGUUAACCGGCACACUAGCAUGGACUUAACAUGGUAGGCAAAGGGUGACUAAAAGUUUAUCAUAGUAUCGGUGGAGCGCGUGUGGUUAACCAGCACAUCGGCUGAGUGAUAAACAUUAAGGGUACCAAGGGAUUUGCAUGGUUACUUCACACCUCGUUUUAUGAUCCUCGGUAUCCCAGGCACAAAACUUGGAGGGCACACUCGAGAUUGAAACAUGCCUUUGAAAAAGUUCAUUGAAUCUCAAAAGAAUCUAGGAAUUUCUAAGAACCAAUUAAAAACCUAAUAGUUUAUAUUUCGUUUUUUGGUGGAAAUUUGUGAAUCGUCAUACCUACCUUUCAAAUAUGUUAUAGCUUAUAUUACGGCAUACCUCUUCUUAGUUAUAAUAUAUUGUGAGUGGAUCCUAGCCUUAAUAUUACAUUUGGGUGUUUUAUUAAGGACUAUCCUUAUAUCUAAACUAAAAUUGUUCUCUUCUAUUCAGAUGUCUUCCAACAACACUGCUUCUGGCUCAAACCCUACCAGCUCGUUUUCCCUCAGGAACCUAUGUGGGAGGGUCAUCUUCGAUGGUUCCAACUUUAUGGAUUGGAUCCGUAACAUCAGGAUGGUGACUCGCUAUGAGGACAAGGAAUAUGUCCUCCAUAAGGAGCUGAAGGAGAUCGAUGUGUCCAGUGCUAGUCCUCAGGAGAUCACUGACUUCCGGACUAAUGAAAGAGAUGCCACCAAAGUGGCAUGCAUCAUGAUGGACACCAUGAAAGCUGAACUCCAGAAGUCCUAUGAGGACUACUACCCUUUUGAGAUGCACCAAGAUAUGAUGGAAAGAUACCAUCAGAGUGCUUGUCAAGAGCGGUAUGAAAUAAUCUCGUCCAUGAUAACAACCAGGAUGAAGGACGGAGAAUCCGUCACGGCCCACAUGCAGAAAAUGCAAAGGUAUGUGUAAGAUCUCUUAGAAGGGUGCCAAGGCUAGGACCCUUGAUGGCUCUUCUUCAAGUGGAACCAAGAAAGGUUUCGUCACUCCUUCUUCUGACCCAAAAGAGGCUGAAUGCUUCUAUUGUCACGAUAAGUCACAUUGGAAGUGGAACUGCCUAAAGUACCAACAAGAUGUGAAGGAUGGGAAAGUCAAACCCAACCAUGAAGGUAUUUACACUAUUCUAUCUAAUAACUCAGCCUAUUCUAACUCUUGGGUCCUUGAUACCGGUGCAGUAUUCAUAUCUGUUAUGAUUUGCAGGGACUAAAAAGAAGUGAGAAUGUGGAGCAUGGAAAGAUAAACUUGAUCAUGGGGAAUAGGAAAGCUUCACCUAUCACCAAGAUUGGAGUCCAGUAUUUGUUGCUAAGUAGUGGGUUUAUUUUAGAUUUGAAUAAAUGUUGUUAUUUGCCUGAAAUGGCAAGAAAUAUUAUUUCCUUUCAUGCUUUGUACAAACAUGGGUUUACCUUUUCUUUUGAUAAUGAAAAUGGUGGAAUAAAUGCUUCCUUUACUAAUGUUCUUUAGUUUAAAGCAUUACCUUGUGAUGGUGUGUAUGAAGUUGUAUCUGUUGUAGAUAAUCUAGGAAAUAAUGUGUGGUGUAUUGAUUCUUCGAGUAAUAAUAACUUGGAUAAAGAAUCAUUAUGGCAUUGUCGUCUUGGACAUGUGAGCAAGAAACGCAUAGGCCAACUCCAAAAAGAUGAAGUCUUGGAGUCAUUUGACCUAAAGUCAGAUGAUAGUUGUGAAUCAUGCUUACUUGGAAAAAUGAAAAAGUCACCCUGCACUGGUUCUUGUGAAAAGGGUGAAGGUUUGUUGGAUCUUGUACACAUGGAUGUGUGUGGACCCUUCAAACAGCCACAAGGGAUGCUAAUCGUUAUUAUUUGACUUUUACUAAUGAUUAUAGUAGAUAUGGAUAUGUCGAUUUAAUCAAGCAUAAGUCUGAGACUUUCGAGAGGUUUAAAGAGUUUAAACAGGAAGUCAAGAAUGAAUUGGGCAGGAACAUUAAGAUGCUUCGAUCCAAUCAUGGUGGUGAGUAUCUUAGUACAUAGUUCCUCGACUAUCUCAAGGAAUGUGAGAUUAUCUCAAAAUUGACACCUCCUAGGAUACCACAAUUGAGAGGUGUGGCUGAGAGGCGUAAUCGAACCUUGUUGGAUAUGGUUCAUUCCAUGAUGAAUUGAGCUUCGCUACCAAUCUCAUUUUGAGGGUAUGCCUUAGAGACUACCACCCAUAUCCUUAAUAUGGUCCCUACAAAGAAAGUUGCCAAAACUCCUCAUGAGAUGUGGACUAGUAAAGUUCCCAAACUAGACCACAUCAAGAUUUGGGGUUGCGAGGCUUUCGUGAGAUGCGAGACUCACGAUAAGCUCGAACCUCGAAGCGAGAGGUGUGUUUUCAUCAGCUACCCAUAUAAAUCCUUUGGUUACCUCUUCGACAGACCUAGUGACAAUGUGGUCUUUGUAGCAAGGAGGGGUGUCUUGAGUGAGAGAGAGAGAAAGAGAGAGAUAUAGAGAGAGUUCUUAAGCCAAGGAAAAAGUGGGAGGCAUAUUGACCUUGAAGAAAUUCAAGAGUCAAGUGGUGAAGGAACUUCAAACCCUAGCAUUCAACCUAAGGAGGAAACUCCCGUUGAGCCAAUUCACAAGUCUGAACCUCUGAGGCGUUCCACAAGGGUUAGGAAUGCACCUGAGCAUUAUUAUGGUUUCCAUAUUACUGCGGAAGGCGAGACACUUAUUAGUGAUGAGACAUUGGUACGUUUGGAUGAACCUAAGAAUUACGCAGAAGCCAUGGCAAGCCUCGAGUCUACCAAAUGGAAAGAAGCAAUGGACAGGAUGAACCUAACCUUUUGUUACUUGAAAAUUAAUCGUAGUAAAUCUUUUUGAUUCUAAGAGUAUUAAAGUGGAAUAAUUAAAAAAAAUAUAUUAAUUAAUAUCUAAAAGAAGUAAUUUAUAUUUAAUGGGCAUAUAAUUAAAUUAGAUGAGUUUGAGGGAAAUUGAGGAGAAAUACAAUUUAUUAAAGGGUUUAAUAGGCAUUGAGGGGCCAAGGUGUCAUAAUAGGAAACUUAAUUUAUAAAUUUGUUAGGGUUAGGAGUGUUUGGGGUUUUCCUACAACACUGGAAUGGAUUAAUUGGAAAUUUUAAAAUAAAAAACCCCAAAGAGGAAGCGACGUGUUCUAUGGGCUAUUAAGGAUUCUUCCAUUUUUUUAUUACGUGCAAUUAAGGGGGAUGUCAUCGAUUAUUUUUUUGUUGAGGUACAUGUGUGUGUUUGUGUGGUCGAGUUCCAGCCACUUUGAUUAUAUCUUUGUUUGAUUUUUCUAGAAAAGUUGGCUAUGAACACUCUCAACAAUGCUAUUGUUCAUGUCCUUGAAAUAUUCCAAGUUUUAUUAGAACAUUGAAUUCUUUGGUGAUUGAUAAAACUUAUGUUAUUGAUACCUUGAUUCAAGAGGAUAAUUAUUUUUUUUUGUUAAAAGAGCAUGUUUUGAGCCACCCAAAAGGUCUUCAAAAAAGAGUUAGAAAGCCUUUCUAUGAAGCUUUAAGGUGGAGCAAACUUAAGCUUUGGUGGAGUACUCUUUUUAGCAAUGCACUUUGUUUCUCCUAUAAAAGCAAUACACUUUCAGUCAUGGUUGAGGUUGUAUUUUCCAUUCUAAGUUAUUGACAUAUGGCUACAUGAUAUGUGCAUAUUUAGUCAUAUAAUUCAUACAAUAUCUUAAUACUUUUUGUUGUUUUUGUCUCAGUUUAUGAACAAAAGGUGCUUAAUUAGUUUAAAAUUUAAUUUUUAGCCUUAAUGACAUGCUUGGAUGAAAAAGGAAGCAGAUUGAGCAACUGGAAGCUUGGAAUUUUAAGAUUGAAGAAAGAUGUCAAAUUCGAAGAAGAACUCGUCUAGUUUAUUCAACUAACUCGACGAGUUGCGAAGAAAGUUCCCGAUAAAAGAGUGCCUUGACCUACAUGCGUUUUAAGUAAAAAACUCGACGAGUUUGUCCGUAAAACUCGACGAGUUGGGGUUGAUUUUUUGAAUCUAUAUAUAGAUCGAAUUCUCCCGAAACCCUAACUUUUGCUGGAGGCUUUUGGCGACAUUUGGAGACCAGAGACAUUACGAAGAGGCUUUGGGAACCAUAAUUCAACUAGAAGGCAAUUUUGAAGAGAUCAAAGGCAAACAACAUUACUUUUCUCUUAAUCUUUUGUGUAAAUCAUGUUUGAACCAUCAGAUUUCGAUUUUAGUGAUUUAUGUGUUGUAGUUAUGAGCUAAAGACUUCAUACUUUUGUUUAGACUAGAUGAUCUUAUGAAUAUGGUACGAUUGAGUGGCUUGGAUUAUAUAGAUUUGCUUAUUUAUCUUGUUAAGAUUGUUAAAAGUUCCUUGCAUGUUAAUUAUAAUUAUUUUCUGGUAAUAACUAAGUAACUGAGUUUCAGGAACAUCUUCUUGAUUUCUUGAAUUAUAUAGUUUUGUGAAAACAAGAUUGUUAGCCUAGUAUUAGUGAACAUGAACCUAGGGUUAACUAGAAAAUAAGUAAGUUAAUGUGUGAGCAUAUGUGAUGACUAACCUCAUAUGAGUUAGUUAAACCAAACUAUUUGAUUAACUAAUGUUACAAGUCUUACUUGAUUCGAAUUGAACACUAGGAAACUUGUUCGUUUAAUCACUUGAUCACUGCUUGAAUUAACUUGUUUGCUAAAGGAUUAGUAAUAGGGAACAUGAACCUAAUCACAUUAGAAAUCGGUAACCAAUGACAUAUUAAUCCAUUGUACUUGCCACGAAAUCAACCAUAUAAUAAGUGAAUCAAAUCUAAAUGAAAGUCUCUUUAAUUUGAUUUAAUCUAGUUGUCUUUUGUUCAUCUUUUAGUUUUUAAUUGCCUGUUUGAUAAAGUGUUUAGGAAGUUACUUAAGUUUCUAAUCUAGUAAAACUAGAGAAAACCCCCCAUUUUAAUUAAUUGCUUUAUUUAGAUAAUAUUAGUAUUAAUUUAAUUUGUUUACCGUUCCGUGUGUUCGAUACCCUACUAGAUUAAACUAAAAUGCUAUCGAUAGGUACACUUCCUACGUGUGUUCAUUUUUAUUUGAGUUUGUUAGGAUUAAAAUUGGCAUACUUUACACAUAUCACUAGAAGUUAAGAAAUCAAUUUCCAUCUUUAUAGUUGAUUCUGGUUAUGGCUUAAUGGGUUAAUGUCACAUACAUAAUAUUUCAUAAAAAGAAAAAAAUUUCAAACCAACCAAAAAUCAUAAUUGAUUACAUUAUAGUUUUCAAAAUAUGUUUAACAUCAGAGUUUUCCCAAAAUCACAAAACACAACAUGAGGAGGUGCAUGAUCAAACCUUUGUCUUCCCACGAUCAUCUGAUGUACCUGAAACAUAAUCCAAAAUUUUAAGCCCAAAGCUUAGUGAGUUCCCCCAAAAUACCAAUGCACAAAUAAAUAAUACAAAUAUAAUAAUAGCAUAAAAUGGGUCCAUAACUAACAUACUGGAUUACCCCUAAGCCCACAUCAUAACUCUGGCUUGCCCUUGGGCCGACAACUUAUGUCUGGCUUGCUCCUCGACAUGAUAAGUCCUCAGACUGAAUACCAUUAAGCCCUCAGUAUGAGUCUGGCACGGUUUUCCCGACCCUUAGCUCGUAUAUGGAAUGCUCAUGAUCCCUCAGUAUAAGUUUGGCAUGCCCUUCCUGACCCUCAACUUAUAUAUGGUAGGCUCCAUAGUUUGUUAGCUACAACAUAGAGAAGUACAACCUCAACCCAACCCACACAAUAUGUCGACAUAUAAAAAAUAAUAUCAAAUACAGAUAAGCAGACAAUAUCACAUGUAGUCCUACAAAUUUACCAGACUAGCAUAUCAUAACUAGCAUGCAUAUCUAUUCCAUACUCAGCAUAUCAACAAUAUUAGGUUAUCAAACCAAUGGGCUGGACUUGGUUCCUUCGACCCGAAAGUAUAGUGAAUAAAAAUCACCUCACAUAACUUAAUCACAUUGAAAUCCCCCGACUGCUAGCUCACUAAAAUCCCCAUACUAACACAACAAAACAAUCAUCCAAUUAAUAAAUGGAUUACAAUCCUUGACUAAUAAUCCGUACUGAGGGUAAAUGGCCACUUCACCCUUUUCGUAGUUGGGCUAAGACCCAGGCCCAAAUCUUGAUCCAAAAAGGCCCAAAAUAAAUAAUCACUCAAGGCCCAUAAUUGGCCCAAUUUUCCAAAUUGGGUCCAUCUUCUACUUAAGCCUUACUCAAAGGUCCAACACUUCACUUAGCCCAAAACACCCAUUAUCAGAUGGACCAAAAAGGGCCCAAUCAUCCAAGUCCAAAAGUUGGCCCAAAGCUUGAAGCCAAAACUCGAAAACCCAACAGGCUAAGUACGUGGGGCGAACACACCUGUACGCUUAGUGUACUCUGCAUUGGCCCGUAAUCGAGCCAUUGACCAACUACACCCAACAUACGUGGUGGCCGUGCAAGACUUCGAUUAAGAGCUUAUCUCAUUCAGUCCAAUGUCCAACUUUUAGAGCCAAGUCCAAAGAGGUUCUCCAAACCAUAAAGUUUCCAACUUUAUGGUUAUGCAUGACUUAAUAAGGCCUAAUACCAUGGUUCUAACGUGUUUUAACCACUAGAGACCUCAUGAAUGCACUAAAAGAGCCAAGAUAGAAUUUUUAUGAAUUAUUGCACCAUAUUUAUUCAGGAACGAUGGAUCCUUUGGUCUUAGAGUAGAACAUACUCAUUAACACCAAGAAAGGGGACUAAGAACACAUAAUUUCCUCAUGGCAAGAUCUAAAAGAAAACAACGCUAGAUUGAAGGUUUAUACCUUCUGGAGCUUCUCAAGAGGGCAAGAAUCCCAGAUCCACAAGUUGUUCCCUCAUCAAGGCUUCUCCGAGAAUCUUCUUCUUCCUCUAAGACAACAAGAACACACCAAAAAGCACACUCUUGAGCUCCAAAAUACACACUCAAAGAUUAGUGUUUUCGAAAGCGUCCCAUGGGAGUGGAGGAUGAAAGGUGGAAAGGAAAUGAGCUAAUAUGAGGCUUAAAUACCCUUCAAACCCUAAAAUAUAGGGUUUCCUCCUAACGUGAGUAUGCCUAGCGUACGUGAGUGUAGGCCAAGCGUACUAGGGCGCGCCUUAGUACGCUCAACGUAUACACAUGUGUGCUUAGCGUACUCCUCCAGCUCAUACUACAAAAAUGCCACUAGGGCUUCAAGGCAUAAUUAUUGGACUUAUGGAUCAAACUGAGUUAUAAAUUAAAACCAAGGGAUGAAUUUGAAAAUACCUAAAAAGUGGGGUGUUACAGUUAGGUUGUCAAUUAACCCUUAAAAUGAAAUGAUGGUAGAUUCUGAAAAAUUACCAAUCUAUUCCUAUUAUUUUCCCUAACCAAGGUGAAAAUCGUCUUUUUCACUGACUGGUAGGAAAUUAGCUGCACAGACAUGCUCUAACGACUGUGUUUUUGUGCUACGCAUUAGUAUAAGAAUGAAAUAGUCAAGGUCAACCAUUGUAACUCAUUUUGAAGUAAUAAGGAGGAAUUAAUUGAAUAUUAUGAAGAAAGUUUUAGUAGUCGUGACAAGAAUUCCCAAGAUAUAAAGAACGCCGAAAUCCGAGUUAUAACGAAGAAUUUAUGACAUGUCGAAGUUUCGCGACAGAACCGACACGACAUUGCAUGACGUAAAAAGUGAGUUUACGAGAAAAGGCUUUUUAGCCUUAGCGAUCUAAAUGAUAGUCGUUGUGUUUGCUAAACCGAGAGCGUGCAUAAAAAGAACGCCCAAAUCGGACUUCGUAUGAGGAAGUUAUGCUUUUUCCAAGUUUCGGAUUAAGAGUACACAUCCCGGAGUUCCAAUAGUAGAUCGAACGGUUUUCGGCCGACACAACCUAAAUGGGAAUCUAAGGUUUCGUUAAUAGUAGCUCAAAGGUAAAAAGACAGAGUAAAAUGGACGUCGGAUGAAGAAGUUAUGAAUUUUUAACAGACUUUUCCAAUCCCAUCCUGUUAAAAAUAGAGUCAAAAAUUGCCGACAGAGUCUAAACGAAAGUUGUAGAGUACGGUCCCCGCUACGCAUGGAUAUAAGGAACGUCUAUAGUGGAGAUCGUAUGCUAAAGUUACGAAUUUUAGAAGUCGAGGGUGUGAAUUAUGGGCUGGGUGCGAGGCUACGCCCCGCGUAGUCCAAGGAACACCUCGCGUCCAAAGUACGCCCUGCGUACGAGGAGUGAACGCUGCACGGUCCCCUUCUCCUGCAGUCUGAAUUAAGCCACGAAACUCCACUGGAUGUCUGAUGCGUGUUACUAUGCCCCGCGUAGAUUCGAAGUACGCCCCAUGUACUACGAGGCCUCUUGGCCUAUAAAAGGGUGUGAGGUGCAGCCGUUUUCUCAAACUUUUCUCCACUUCUUUCUCUCUCUACUCUCUCUCUCUCUCUCUCUCUCUCUAUCCUCCCUAAACCACCCCAAAGCCUAGGAAAUCUCCCUAUCACUAUAAGAAAGCCCUGGAGCACCCGAAGGCUCCGAGAAAAAUGAGCUUUUCGGUUUGAAACUCUUCCCCCGCAGAACCCGGUUUUGUCGAAGGGAUUUUUUUUAAAGAGCGAAGUGUUGUCUGAGUUCAGAAUCACCACCUUAACAAGUGAGUACAUAGUUACUUUCAUCUUACAUAUAUAUAUAUAUAUAUAUNUAGAGACUACCACCCAUAUCCUUAAUAUGGUCCCUACAAAGAAAGUUGCCAAAACUCCUCAUGAGAUGUGGACUAGUAAAGUUCCCAAACUAGACCACAUCAAGAUUUGGGGUUGCGAGGCUUUCGUGAGAUGCGAGACUCACGAUAAGCUCGAACCUCGAAGCGAGAGGUGUGUUUUCAUCAGCUACCCAUAUAAAUCCUUUGGUUACCUCUUCGACAGACCUAGUGACAAUGUGGUCUUUGUAGCAAGGAGGGGUGUCUUGAGUGAGAGAGAGAGAAAGAGAGAGAUAUAGAGAGAGUUCUUAAGCCAAGGAAAAAGUGGGAGGCAUAUUGACCUUGAAGAAAUUCAAGAGUCAAGUGGUGAAGGAACUUCAAACCCUAGCAUUCAACCUAAGGAGGAAACUCCCGUUGAGCCAAUUCACAAGUCUGAACCUCUGAGGCGUUCCACAAGGGUUAGGAAUGCACCUGAGCAUUAUUAUGGUUUCCAUAUUACUGCGGAAGGCGAGACACUUAUUAGUGAUGAGACAUUGGUACGUUUGGAUGAACCUAAGAAUUACGCAGAAGCCAUGGCAAGCCUCGAGUCUACCAAAUGGAAAGAAGCAAUGGACAGGAUGAACCUAACCUUUUGUUACUUGAAAAUUAAUCGUAGUAAAUCUUUUUGAUUCUAAGAGUAUUAAAGUGGAAUAAUUAAAAAAAAUAUAUUAAUUAAUAUCUAAAAGAAGUAAUUUAUAUUUAAUGGGCAUAUAAUUAAAUUAGAUGAGUUUGAGGGAAAUUGAGGAGAAAUACAAUUUAUUAAAGGGUUUAAUAGGCAUUGAGGGGCCAAGGUGUCAUAAUAGGAAACUUAAUUUAUAAAUUUGUUAGGGUUAGGAGUGUUUGGGGUUUUCCUACAACACUGGAAUGGAUUAAUUGGAAAUUUUAAAAUAAAAAACCCCAAAGAGGAAGCGACGUGUUCUAUGGGCUAUUAAGGAUUCUUCCAUUUUUUUAUUACGUGCAAUUAAGGGGGAUGUCAUCGAUUAUUUUUUUGUUGAGGUACAUGUGUGUGUUUGUGUGGUCGAGUUCCAGCCACUUUGAUUAUAUCUUUGUUUGAUUUUUCUAGAAAAGUUGGCUAUGAACACUCUCAACAAUGCUAUUGUUCAUGUCCUUGAAAUAUUCCAAGUUUUAUUAGAACAUUGAAUUCUUUGGUGAUUGAUAAAACUUAUGUUAUUGAUACCUUGAUUCAAGAGGAUAAUUAUUUUUUUUUGUUAAAAGAGCAUGUUUUGAGCCACCCAAAAGGUCUUCAAAAAAGAGUUAGAAAGCCUUUCUAUGAAGCUUUAAGGUGGAGCAAACUUAAGCUUUGGUGGAGUACUCUUUUUAGCAAUGCACUUUGUUUCUCCUAUAAAAGCAAUACACUUUCAGUCAUGGUUGAGGUUGUAUUUUCCAUUCUAAGUUAUUGACAUAUGGCUACAUGAUAUGUGCAUAUUUAGUCAUAUAAUUCAUACAAUAUCUUAAUACUUUUUGUUGUUUUUGUCUCAGUUUAUGAACAAAAGGUGCUUAAUUAGUUUAAAAUUUAAUUUUUAGCCUUAAUGACAUGCUUGGAUGAAAAAGGAAGCAGAUUGAGCAACUGGAAGCUUGGAAUUUUAAGAUUGAAGAAAGAUGUCAAAUUCGAAGAAGAACUCGUCUAGUUUAUUCAACUAACUCGACGAGUUGCGAAGAAAGUUCCCGAUAAAAGAGUGCCUUGACCUACAUGCGUUUUAAGUAAAAAACUCGACGAGUUUGUCCGUAAAACUCGACGAGUUGGGGUUGAUUUUUUGAAUCUAUAUAUAGAUCGAAUUCUCCCGAAACCCUAACUUUUGCUGGAGGCUUUUGGCGACAUUUGGAGACCAGAGACAUUACGAAGAGGCUUUGGGAACCAUAAUUCAACUAGAAGGCAAUUUUGAAGAGAUCAAAGGCAAACAACAUUACUUUUCUCUUAAUCUUUUGUGUAAAUCAUGUUUGAACCAUCAGAUUUCGAUUUUAGUGAUUUAUGUGUUGUAGUUAUGAGCUAAAGACUUCAUACUUUUGUUUAGACUAGAUGAUCUUAUGAAUAUGGUACGAUUGAGUGGCUUGGAUUAUAUAGAUUUGCUUAUUUAUCUUGUUAAGAUUGUUAAAAGUUCCUUGCAUGUUAAUUAUAAUUAUUUUCUGGUAAUAACUAAGUAACUGAGUUUCAGGAACAUCUUCUUGAUUUCUUGAAUUAUAUAGUUUUGUGAAAACAAGAUUGUUAGCCUAGUAUUAGUGAACAUGAACCUAGGGUUAACUAGAAAAUAAGUAAGUUAAUGUGUGAGCAUAUGUGAUGACUAACCUCAUAUGAGUUAGUUAAACCAAACUAUUUGAUUAACUAAUGUUACAAGUCUUACUUGAUUCGAAUUGAACACUAGGAAACUUGUUCGUUUAAUCACUUGAUCACUGCUUGAAUUAACUUGUUUGCUAAAGGAUUAGUAAUAGGGAACAUGAACCUAAUCACAUUAGAAAUCGGUAACCAAUGACAUAUUAAUCCAUUGUACUUGCCACGAAAUCAACCAUAUAAUAAGUGAAUCAAAUCUAAAUGAAAGUCUCUUUAAUUUGAUUUAAUCUAGUUGUCUUUUGUUCAUCUUUUAGUUUUUAAUUGCCUGUUUGAUAAAGUGUUUAGGAAGUUACUUAAGUUUCUAAUCUAGUAAAACUAGAGAAAACCCCCCAUUUUAAUUAAUUGCUUUAUUUAGAUAAUAUUAGUAUUAAUUUAAUUUGUUUACCGUUCCGUGUGUUCGAUACCCUACUAGAUUAAACUAAAAUGCUAUCGAUAGGUACACUUCCUACGUGUGUUCAUUUUUAUUUGAGUUUGUUAGGAUUAAAAUUGGCAUACUUUACACAUAUCACUAGAAGUUAAGAAAUCAAUUUCCAUCUUUAUAGUUGAUUCUGGUUAUGGCUUAAUGGGUUAAUGUCACAUACAUAAUAUUUCAUAAAAAGAAAAAAAUUUCAAACCAACCAAAAAUCAUAAUUGAUUACAUUAUAGUUUUCAAAAUAUGUUUAACAUCAGAGUUUUCCCAAAAUCACAAAACACAACAUGAGGAGGUGCAUGAUCAAACCUUUGUCUUCCCACGAUCAUCUGAUGUACCUGAAACAUAAUCCAAAAUUUUAAGCCCAAAGCUUAGUGAGUUCCCCCAAAAUACCAAUGCACAAAUAAAUAAUACAAAUAUAAUAAUAGCAUAAAAUGGGUCCAUAACUAACAUACUGGAUUACCCCUAAGCCCACAUCAUAACUCUGGCUUGCCCUUGGGCCGACAACUUAUGUCUGGCUUGCUCCUCGACAUGAUAAGUCCUCAGACUGAAUACCAUUAAGCCCUCAGUAUGAGUCUGGCACGGUUUUCCCGACCCUUAGCUCGUAUAUGGAAUGCUCAUGAUCCCUCAGUAUAAGUUUGGCAUGCCCUUCCUGACCCUCAACUUAUAUAUGGUAGGCUCCAUAGUUUGUUAGCUACAACAUAGAGAAGUACAACCUCAACCCAACCCACACAAUAUGUCGACAUAUAAAAAAUAAUAUCAAAUACAGAUAAGCAGACAAUAUCACAUGUAGUCCUACAAAUUUACCAGACUAGCAUAUCAUAACUAGCAUGCAUAUCUAUUCCAUACUCAGCAUAUCAACAAUAUUAGGUUAUCAAACCAAUGGGCUGGACUUGGUUCCUUCGACCCGAAAGUAUAGUGAAUAAAAAUCACCUCACAUAACUUAAUCACAUUGAAAUCCCCCGACUGCUAGCUCACUAAAAUCCCCAUACUAACACAACAAAACAAUCAUCCAAUUAAUAAAUGGAUUACAAUCCUUGACUAAUAAUCCGUACUGAGGGUAAAUGGCCACUUCACCCUUUUCGUAGUUGGGCUAAGACCCAGGCCCAAAUCUUGAUCCAAAAAGGCCCAAAAUAAAUAAUCACUCAAGGCCCAUAAUUGGCCCAAUUUUCCAAAUUGGGUCCAUCUUCUACUUAAGCCUUACUCAAAGGUCCAACACUUCACUUAGCCCAAAACACCCAUUAUCAGAUGGACCAAAAAGGGCCCAAUCAUCCAAGUCCAAAAGUUGGCCCAAAGCUUGAAGCCAAAACUCGAAAACCCAACAGGCUAAGUACGUGGGGCGAACACACCUGUACGCUUAGUGUACUCUGCAUUGGCCCGUAAUCGAGCCAUUGACCAACUACACCCAACAUACGUGGUGGCCGUGCAAGACUUCGAUUAAGAGCUUAUCUCAUUCAGUCCAAUGUCCAACUUUUAGAGCCAAGUCCAAAGAGGUUCUCCAAACCAUAAAGUUUCCAACUUUAUGGUUAUGCAUGACUUAAUAAGGCCUAAUACCAUGGUUCUAACGUGUUUUAACCACUAGAGACCUCAUGAAUGCACUAAAAGAGCCAAGAUAGAAUUUUUAUGAAUUAUUGCACCAUAUUUAUUCAGGAACGAUGGAUCCUUUGGUCUUAGAGUAGAACAUACUCAUUAACACCAAGAAAGGGGACUAAGAACACAUAAUUUCCUCAUGGCAAGAUCUAAAAGAAAACAACGCUAGAUUGAAGGUUUAUACCUUCUGGAGCUUCUCAAGAGGGCAAGAAUCCCAGAUCCACAAGUUGUUCCCUCAUCAAGGCUUCUCCGAGAAUCUUCUUCUUCCUCUAAGACAACAAGAACACACCAAAAAGCACACUCUUGAGCUCCAAAAUACACACUCAAAGAUUAGUGUUUUCGAAAGCGUCCCAUGGGAGUGGAGGAUGAAAGGUGGAAAGGAAAUGAGCUAAUAUGAGGCUUAAAUACCCUUCAAACCCUAAAAUAUAGGGUUUCCUCCUAACGUGAGUAUGCCUAGCGUACGUGAGUGUAGGCCAAGCGUACUAGGGCGCGCCUUAGUACGCUCAACGUAUACACAUGUGUGCUUAGCGUACUCCUCCAGCUCAUACUACAAAAAUGCCACUAGGGCUUCAAGGCAUAAUUAUUGGACUUAUGGAUCAAACUGAGUUAUAAAUUAAAACCAAGGGAUGAAUUUGAAAAUACCUAAAAAGUGGGGUGUUACAGUUAGGUUGUCAAUUAACCCUUAAAAUGAAAUGAUGGUAGAUUCUGAAAAAUUACCAAUCUAUUCCUAUUAUUUUCCCUAACCAAGGUGAAAAUCGUCUUUUUCACUGACUGGUAGGAAAUUAGCUGCACAGACAUGCUCUAACGACUGUGUUUUUGUGCUACGCAUUAGUAUAAGAAUGAAAUAGUCAAGGUCAACCAUUGUAACUCAUUUUGAAGUAAUAAGGAGGAAUUAAUUGAAUAUUAUGAAGAAAGUUUUAGUAGUCGUGACAAGAAUUCCCAAGAUAUAAAGAACGCCGAAAUCCGAGUUAUAACGAAGAAUUUAUGACAUGUCGAAGUUUCGCGACAGAACCGACACGACAUUGCAUGACGUAAAAAGUGAGUUUACGAGAAAAGGCUUUUUAGCCUUAGCGAUCUAAAUGAUAGUCGUUGUGUUUGCUAAACCGAGAGCGUGCAUAAAAAGAACGCCCAAAUCGGACUUCGUAUGAGGAAGUUAUGCUUUUUCCAAGUUUCGGAUUAAGAGUACACAUCCCGGAGUUCCAAUAGUAGAUCGAACGGUUUUCGGCCGACACAACCUAAAUGGGAAUCUAAGGUUUCGUUAAUAGUAGCUCAAAGGUAAAAAGACAGAGUAAAAUGGACGUCGGAUGAAGAAGUUAUGAAUUUUUAACAGACUUUUCCAAUCCCAUCCUGUUAAAAAUAGAGUCAAAAAUUGCCGACAGAGUCUAAACGAAAGUUGUAGAGUACGGUCCCCGCUACGCAUGGAUAUAAGGAACGUCUAUAGUGGAGAUCGUAUGCUAAAGUUACGAAUUUUAGAAGUCGAGGGUGUGAAUUAUGGGCUGGGUGCGAGGCUACGCCCCGCGUAGUCCAAGGAACACCUCGCGUCCAAAGUACGCCCUGCGUACGAGGAGUGAACGCUGCACGGUCCCCUUCUCCUGCAGUCUGAAUUAAGCCACGAAACUCCACUGGAUGUCUGAUGCGUGUUACUAUGCCCCGCGUAGAUUCGAAGUACGCCCCAUGUACUACGAGGCCUCUUGGCCUAUAAAAGGGUGUGAGGUGCAGCCGUUUUCUCAAACUUUUCUCCACUUCUUUCUCUCUCUACUCUCUCUCUCUCUCUCUCUCUCUCUAUCCUCCCUAAACCACCCCAAAGCCUAGGAAAUCUCCCUAUCACUAUAAGAAAGCCCUGGAGCACCCGAAGGCUCCGAGAAAAAUGAGCUUUUCGGUUUGAAACUCUUCCCCCGCAGAACCCGGUUUUGUCGAAGGGAUUUUUUUUAAAGAGCGAAGUGUUGUCUGAGUUCAGAAUCACCACCUUAACAAGUGAGUACAUAGUUACUUUCAUCUUACAUAUAUAUAUAUAUAUAUAUGAAGUAUUUUAUAUAAUUUAUGUGCUAUGUGUGCAUAUUAUCUGUUUACUUGAGAUAUGUGUCGACUGAAAGAUUUAAACUUUGUUUUUUCAUAUCUAAACUGUAUAUGUAUUUUAUAACUUGAGAUCUAUACUAAAUGAAAGAUUUAAACUUUGUUUUUUUAGACCUAGACCUCUUUUUUCUUCAGAACUAAACCUUAGAUGUAUUUUCUUUUUAGUUCUAAACUUUUUUCUUGAGAUCUGAACCGUAUAUGUAUUUUCUUUUCAGAUCUUGACAUUUUCUUCAGAUCUGAACCGUAUAUGUAUUUUCUUUUCAGAUCUUGACAUUUUCUUCAUAUCUGAACUAUAUAUGUAUUUUAUAUCUUCAAAUAUGUUUGGUAAAACAUGGGCAGAUGAAAUUGUUGUUGUUUGAUGAAUAAUGAGUUGGAGGAUGAGAUGAAAAGUGAUAUAGAUCAUGAGAUGAGGGUGAUAGGUGAAAAAUGAGAGAAGCCUUUACCCAAGCGUUGGCCCCGUCAUCUACCAGAGUAUGGAUGACAACCACAGACUAUUCUAGAUGGUCUGAUGGAACACUAGCACGCUCGCAACUUGUAGGUGUUGUGAACAAUAUGUUCACCCGGUGUACUCUAAAAACCCAUUGACAUGUAUUGCAGGUGGACUCCCGCAAAAAAGUAUUGUCGAUAAAUGAGAUUUAUGGACAUAGCACCCGUUGGAUGAACCUUGGAAAGUAUGGAUUUAGUGCCUGUUGUAUAAAACCUGGUGACGAUGGACUUCGUGCCUAUUCCUUAGGACAAACCUUAGGAAUGAAGGAAUAAAGAGUAGUUGAUUCUUAGGGUAGGUUCUUAAGAGUAAAGAAGAUAAUGGGGUUGGGUUGAAAACCCUGUGUACUCACCAGGUUUCCCAACCUGAAAACCCUAUGUACUCAACAGGUUUCCCAACCUAACCCACUUUGUUUAUUUGUAUCACAGGUGUCGAUAUAAAGUUGCACUACACUGAGAGAUUAAAGAGAUGUAGAUCAAUAGUGAAAAUGAAUGCAAGUCCUGUUUAUGCUUAUGCUUCUUUAUUGAAGAUGACAUCCAAAAGUUUUUAAAUGAAUAAAAUACAUUUUUUCAGAAAUGCUUUGAUAACAUAUUUAUCGUGUUUUUCUGGGAACAAAUUCCGCAACACUUUUCUUUAAAAAGUUACUCUGAUUUGAAAAUAAAGCAUAAACAAAUAGGUCUUUUUUGGCUGAGAAAAUGGGGAUGUCACAUUUGGUAUCAGAACAUUAGUUUAAGUGAACUAGGAAUUUGUAGGAUUUGUAGACUUAAAUUUAGAAUGUGAUGCGAUGAUUGUGAGAUGAGUGUCUACCAUAUUUUAGACACAAGCACUAUUUUAUUUUAGGAAAGAUGCCUAAAAUGUUUUUGUGUGCUAAAUGAUUUAUAUUAUAGCUAUAAAGAUGCCUUAUAUGCUAUUAUUUGAUCGGAUCUAUGGUCUGUUGCCGACCGGAUCUGGAAACUUUUUUUUAUUUUAGAUUUCUAAACGUUUAAUUACAGUAUUAAAACUGGCUUGUAACUUUUUGGGGUAAUAAGGAGAUUUAUACAUCCAUCAUAAAUAAAUCCUUUCCAUCUAAAUUCCCAUGACUGCACACCGAACGUUUGAUUUUGGUGUAUAGAUCGAUACGGUGAGCUCUCGAAGCGGAUUCGGAAAUGGUAACCCAUAGCUAGAGCCACAAGUGAUCGAGCGUGCACCAGAAGUAGCAGCUGCACCUGGGCCAAUAACGAUGGUAGGAGUAUAGGAAAUGAUGUGGAUGGUGUUGGAUUAACAAAUGGAAGAGACAAGGAGUUUACUUCAACAAAGUAAGGACAAAAUUAGUUGCCAGUACGCCAGGCACCUACUAUUGGGGCAACCAUCUGGGUUGCUAAGUCUGUCGAAGAAGUAAUCAAUGAUAAGACCGCUAACAUGGUUGAAAUCAGAAAGAAGAGGAAAUUUGAGGGGUCCUCAAGGUCCCACAAGAGCAACAUGUUCUCAAAGUCUAGCAAAUAAGGAGGUAAAGGAAAAUGGUGCUAGAAGUGCAAAAACAAACACUCUGUAAGAUAGGACAGGAAGGUGACUUGUUUCAAGUGUGGAGAGACUGGGCGUUAAGCUGAUGAAUGUACAUUUACGGAGAGGGUGUGUUAUGGAUGUAAGGAAGGAGGGAAUUUCUCAAGGGAUGCCUGAAGAAAAAUGAAGCAACAAGAGCGAAUGCACCUCCAAAGCCAAAAAGCAUCUCAGAAAAUCCUUGACGAAGAAGGUGACGAUGCGAGAAAUCAAGGAUGAGGACUUCAUAUCCGAAGAUCAAGAUAUGAAGUAUCCGUAAUAACAUGUGGUGUAGCCUAUUAGAGGCAUAGUAUAGGGUGAAAUUGAUCUCCUAUGUAAUCAUUUCAAGAAAAUAUAUAAAGUUUCGCUUUGUUAUCUAAUGUGUUAAAUGAUUAUUUUAAAUUCUUGAAUGGUGACAUGGAAAACUGCGAGACAAUACUUGGGACAAGUAUGAGAAAGUGUGAAUGGUAGUAGAGGCCUAUACUACCGAAAGCAUACAACUCACACUUGGAUCAGGGAUGGUCACAAGGUUACCAAAAAGCUAGUAAUUGAUUCAGUUUUGUUCAUAUCUGUCGUUACCAUCAUUUCGGUAAUGACUAAGAAUGUGAUUGUUAUUUCGACCCUAUAUGUCAUAUCAUAUAGAGUUCGACUACAAUGAGUUAGUCAUGUGGUUCAGAGAACCAAGUCCGAUGUAGCAUCCUACUCAAGCUAGAAGAUUGAAGUAUAGCGAUCGUUGUUAAAGUAAGAACCUUUUAGCUAGAAGUACUACAUGCUAGAAUGUGAUAUUAUCACAUUGGAACACGAAGGAAGGUAUAUUACGUUCAUAAACUCGACUCUAAAAGACUUGAGUCAAAGAAGUACAUCAUAUGAUGAGAGGUCAUUAGAACAUAACCCACCAGUCUAUUAUGGUAAUUGAAGGAAAGAACUUGUCUUAAGUUUGUUAAGGAGAAGGAAGAGUCUCCAAUAAGGAUCAAAAUUGUGACUUGAAGGUCACGAUUAAAAGUCGAACAUGGGAUAGAGAGCGGGUGCAAGAGCGAGCAUCGCCUACAGACAAGAAUUCCAAAAGUUAGAUUAUCAUUCGAAGGAACAUAAUAGUUACGACGAUUACCUAGGAUGAUGAAAUAACGUAUGGAGUUAUUAUACAAGCCAUGUGUUGUUGGUGUUUCCGAAAACGGAGUUGAAGACUUAGUAGUCUGUAGCGAUGCAUCUGGAGUUGGGUUGGUUUGUGUUCUAACCCAGAGGGAAAAAAUUAUAGCAUAUGCAUCGAGACAACUAAAAUAGCACGAAAAGAACUACCCCACUCAUGAUCUGGAGUUGUCAGCGGUAGUAAUCGCUCAAAUGAUACGGAGACAUUAUCUUUAUGGAAAAAAGUGAAAACUUUUCAUUGAUUAUAAGAGUCUCUAGUGUCUCUUUAAUCAUAAGGAAUUGAAUAUGAGACAAUGAUGCUGGCUAGAGUUACUCAAGGAUUAUGACUGUGAGAUACUUUACCACCCCAAUAAAGCAAAUGUUGUAGCUGAUGCUAUAAGUUGAAAUGUAAACCUUGAAAGAAAAAGGCCAAGAGGGUUAAGAAUAGAAGUAGUCUCAACGAUUGUGGAAAGCAUUAAGGAAGCUCAAAAAGAAGCUUCAGAGCAAAAUAACCAAAAGGAAGAACGUUUAGGUAAAACAUUGGUGUUCGGUACGAAUAAUCAAGGAUUGAAGGUAUUCCAAGAUAGGAUUUGGGUACCUAAGACGGGAGGAGUAAGAGAUCUUCUGAUAGAAGAAGCUCACAAGACGAUGUACUCGAUUCAUUCCGGCAGCACUAUGAUGUAUAAGGAUCCGAAACCCUACUACUGGUGUCGAAGAUGAAGGUCGAUGUUGCAAAGUAUGUGGCCAAGUGUGUAACAUGUGCAAGAGAUAAGGCACAACAUCAGGAAGCAUAUGGGAGUUUAGAACCUUUACCUGUACCCAUGGGCAAAUAGGAAGACGUCACCAUGGAUUUUGUGACUAAACUGCCAAGAACGAAGAACGGCCACGACGUGAUUUGGUGGUUGUAGUUUGGUUCAAUAGGAGUGCACACUUUAUUGUAGCUAAUGGGAGAUGGUCUAUGGAUAAGCCUGCAAAUGCUUACGUGAGGGGAUUUGUGAGACUUCACGGUGUACCUUUAACGAUUGUAUCCGUUAGUGGUAGUCGUUUCACGUCAAGGUUUUGGAGGAGUCUACAAGAUGAAUUGGGUACGAAGUUGUGUUUAAGUACAACCUACCAUCCACAGACCGAUAUUCAAAGCGAAAGAACGAUUCAAACACUUGGAGAUAUGCCAACAGUUUCUACUCUGGAAUUCCAAGGUAACUGGGAUUAACACUUACCCCUGGUAUAAUUUUCCUACAAAAAUAGUUAUCAAUCGAGCAUCAAGAUGGCACCUUACCAAGCUAUUGAAGGAUUUUGAGCAUUCUAACACUCCUAAGGUGUACAUGCAACCCUAGAAACCUUGGAUCUAUGUUUGACUAAGAUACAUGCAAAUUUGAUUUUCCAAUGUUCUUAACCUAUCUAGCAUAGCAUGGAGAACUUUUAAACAUAAAUGUUAGAAGAAGAACAUACCUUUUGUUGUUUGGAUUCCUUAAGAACCUUGUGAGCCUAGCACCUCAAGUGUGAUGCCUCAAAUGUCUCACACAACACCACAACACUUGGAAUAACCUUGAGAGAAGUUCACUAACACCUCAAAAUCGGCUAGACCUCUUUACUUGCUUGUACAAGUACCAAUUUUUCUAGACAAGGGGUGUUUAUAUAGUUGUGACAUAAGUAGGGUUACACCAUGUAAACCCUAAUUGUCAUGGCUUUCCAUAUUCCAUGAUCCAUGGGUUUGUAACCUCCAUGGAUUAUCCAUGGAGCACCUUAUGGGUUUUAGCCCAAUCCAUACAAACCAUGGAUCAUUAGCCCACUAUACAAGAAUAGAUGAUUUACACAAUCAACCCCAUAUAUUUAAUUAGUCUCUUUUUGAUCACUAAAUUAAUUCCAAAUUAAUUCUUUGAUCAAUACUAAUUAAAUAAUAUUAUUAAUAUAUUAGAACUUAUAAUAUAUUAAUAAUCCUUAAGUGCACUUUCUCUCAUUUAGUCUAUCCAAGUGUUGUAAUGCCAUGCAACCCAAAUGAACCCUGCUAAUCGGGUCAAGUACAUUCCAUAAAUAGUUAUGAACUUACACACCUAAUCCAACAGUCUCCCACUUGGAUAAGUCUAAUAACUAUAACUGCAAGAUUGACUUUAGGAACCGAUCUGCAAACGUAGCUCUUUCAAGGUCUUGCGGAACUGAGAUGAUGAUGAUACACCAUUUAAGAUAAGUGAUCAUAUAAUCUUCUGUUAUAGAUAUCAGCUAGACAAAUACAUGGAACAAUGUCUUACUGAUUGUCCAACCGUUUGUUUCCCAAUUUCUGAUUUGUUUGACAUAUAACUUAAUUGAACACAUCAACUUCGUUCUGACCGGUCCCGGUACAUGGGUCAACACAAAAUCAUCGAGGGCCCAGAUAUCACUUCUAAUCCAAGAAGGAAUAAAUAAACUUCGACUCAUAUACACAAAGGCACGUUUUAUAACAUCGAGUUACCAAUGCGUUUUCGUACAAUCAAUGUAUAACCAACUCUAGGCAACAAGUCGUAUCCCUAGGUUUGAAGACUUAUAUGAUAUUACCGUCUCACGAUCACUCAAGAUAAAUUCCAUGAAGUGAUACCAGUGAACGUGGGUUGAAUCCAUUACUCAGAACUUAUGAGCACUCAUGUGUGUUUUAGCAAUACUUUGCUAUGUCUAACAUAUUAGACAUCUACAAGCCAACUCAUGACAGUCUUGAUUCAUAUCUACUUCCAACAUAUGACCAAAUGUGGAGAAUUUGAAUAAUAUGAAAUACAAAAACAUAAUUAUUCUGGAAGUCAAAACAUGCAAAAAUGAAAUGAUAGUAAACGAUUGACAAAAGAUAGCAACAUUUUACUCAUAAAUAAACACAACUUUUAUUCAUCAUCAAAUGUCAAUUACACUUUACACAUUUCAAAGCUAUCUAACUAGUAAAACUAAUAUCAUCCUUCAGCCCUAUGAACCUCUCAUGCUGAAGAUGCUUAACCCUGCCCAGUCCCUUCGUGAGGGGAUCUGUCGGGUACUCAUACGAUGAUACCCUCUUUGCCACGAGGAGUCCUUCUUCUAUUCGAUGUCUGCUGAAAUGGUAUUUUCUUUUGAUGUGUCUGGAUCUCCCGUGAUCCCUUGGUUCCUUGCCUAAGGCAACUGCACUUUCACUAUCACAGAAAAUCUCUAUAGGAUCCUAUAUAGCUGGUAGAACUCCAAGGACUCCAAUGAAGUUCUUUAUCCAUAUAGCCUCCUUCGCUGCCUCGCUUGCCGCUAUAUACUUUUAUUCGUAAGUUGAAUCAGCCAAUAUCUCCUGCUUGGAAGUUUUCCAAGAAAUUGCUACUCCGUUUAAGGUAAAGACCCAGCCUGACAUAGAGCGAAAAUUAUCCCUAUCAGUCUGAAAGCUAGCAUCAAUAUACCCUAAUACUCUCAGGUGAUCACUCCCACCGAGGGUUAGGACCCAGUCCUUAGUCCUCCGCAAGUACUUGAGAAUGUUCUUUACCGCAGUCUAGAGAGCCUUGCCGGGUUGCCCCUGAUAUAUGCUGACCAUGCUUAAUGAAUAGGCCACAUCAAGACGAGUACAAGUCAUAGGAUCCAUGAUCGACCGUACAGUGGGAGCAUAUGGUACUCGAAUCAUAUCUACUAUCUCAGCCUUUGUACUCAGGCUCUGAGUCUUACUCAACACUUUAACCACAUAGUUGCUCUGACUAAGUCCAAUUAGUCUUUUACCCUUGUCUCUCAAAAUCCUUAUCCCUAGGAUAUAGGCAGCUUCUCUAAGGUCCUUCAUAGCGAAACACUUUCGAAGCUAGGACUUCACUUCCUGCAGAGUUGGGAUUUAAUUUCCUACGAGUAGUAUGUCAUCCACAUACAAUACCAAAAAGCUAACUAUACUUCCACUAGCCUUGACAUAUACACAAAAUUCAUCUUCACUCCUCGAAAAGCCAAACUCUUUGACUUUCUCAUUGAAGCAAAGAUUCCAUCUGGAGGUGCUUGCUUUAAUCCAUAAAUAGUUUUCUCAAGCUUACACACUCUAUUAGGGUACUCUUUACUGAUAAAACCCUCUGGCUAAAUCAUGUAAACAUCCUCAGCCAACUUUCCAUUAAGGAAAGCGGUUUUGACAUCCAUUUGUCAUAUUGCAUAAUCAUGAAAUGCAACAAUGGCUAACAUAAUCCUAAUAGACUUAAUCUUCGCUACUGGUGAAAAGGUCUCAUCAUAAUCAACUCCCGGAGUUUGAGAAAAGCCCUCUGCAACCAGUUGUGCCUUAUAAGUGUGUACAUUACCAUCUAUGUCGGUCUUCUUCUUAAAGAUCCACUUGCACCUAACUGUAUUACGACUUGGUACAUUGUUAACCAAGUUCCAAACUUGAUUGUCAUACAUGGAUUUCUUCUCGCUGUCCAUAGCCUCUUUCCAUUAGUAGCCUCAGGGCCAGCCAUGGCUUCCGUGAAACUGUUAGGUUCAUCCAGAAUUACUUGUGUGCUAUCACUGAUAAGUGUAUCACCUUCCGCAAUAAUAUGGAAUCCAUAGUAAUGCUCAGGUGCAUUCCUAACUCUCUUGGAACGCCUCAGAGGUACAGACUCUUCUGUCGGAUCAACAGGAGUUACCUCCUUAGGUUGAUUGCUAGGGUUUGAGGUUCCUUCACCACUUGACUCUUGAAUUUCUUCAAGGUCAAUUUUACUGCCACUGUUUCCUUGGAUCAUGAACUCUCUCUCGCAAAAGAAUCCCCUCCUUGCUACAAAGACCACAUUAUCGCUAGGUAUGUAGAAGAGGUAACCAAAGGAUCUCUGUGGAUAGCCAAUGAAAAUACACCUCUCACUUCGAGGUUCAAGCUUAUUGUGAGACUCGUGCCUCACGAAAGCCUCGCAUCCCUAAAUAUUGAUGUGGUACAGAUUGGGAACUUUUUUAGUCCACAUCUCCUGAUGUGUUUUGGAAACCUUCUUUGUAAGGACUAGAUUAAGGAUUUGGGCGUCAGUCUCUAAGGCAUACCCCCAAAAUGAGAUUGAUAGCAAAGCUCGACUCAUCAUGGAACAAACCAUAUCCAAGGAGGUUCGAUUGUGCCUCUCAGCUACACUAUUAAGCUGUGAUGUCUUGGGAGGUGUCAAUUGUGAGAUAAUCCCACAUUCCUUAAGAUAGUCAACGAACUCUGUACUAAGAUACUCACCACCUCGAUCGGAUCGAAACAUCUUAAUGUUCAUUCCCAACUAAUUCUCUACUUCCUGUUUGAACUCUUUGAAUCUUUCAAAGGUCUCCAACUUAUGCUUGAUUAAGUAGAAAUAUCCAUAUCUACGAAAAUCAUCAGUGAAAGUACCAUAAAAGCGGUGAGCAUAUCUUGUGGCGGUUCUGAAGGGUCCACAAACAUCAGUAUGUAUGAGGUCCAACAAACCCUCACCCCUAGCACAAGUACCAGUGAAGCAUGACUUUGUCAUUUUCCCAAGCAAACAAGAUUCACAACUAUCAUCUGACUUUAGGUCAAAUGACACCAAAACUCCAUCCUUUUGGAGUUGGCCCAUGCGUUUCUUGCCUACAUGUCCAAGACGACAAUGCCAUAAUGAUGCUUUAUCAAAACUAGUGGAAGAAUCAAUACACAAUACAUUAUUUCCUAGGUUAUCAACAACUGACAUAGUUUCAUAUACACCAUCACAAGGUAAUGAUUUAAAAUAAAGAACAUUAUUAAAGAAAGCAUUAAUACCACCACAUUCAUUAUCAAAUGAAAAUGUAAAACCUUGUUUGUAUAAACCAUGAAAGGAAAUAAUAUUUCUUUCCAUUUCAGACGAGUAACAACACUUAUUUAAAUCUAACAGUAAUUCACUACUUAGCAACAAAGAAAAAACUCCAAUCUUGGUGAUACGUGAAGCUUUCCUAUUCCUCAUGAUCAAGUUUAUCUUCCCAUGCUCCAUAUUCUCACUUCUUCUUAGUCCCUGCAAAUCAGUACAUAUGUGAAUACCACAACCUGUAUCAAGGACCCAAGAAUUAGUAUGGGGUGAAUUAUUAGACAAUAUAGUGUAUAUACCUGCAUGGUUGGGUUUCACUUUCCCAUCCUUCACAUCUUGCUGGUACUUUGGGCAGUUUUUCUUCCAGUGCGAAUUUUCAUGGCAAUAGAAGGAUUCAACCUUUUUAGGGUUGGAAGAAGGAGUGACGAAACCUUUCUUUGUUCAACUUGAAGAGGAUCCAUCAAGGGUCUUACCCUUGGUACCUUCAAAGGGCUCUUCCUCUUCUUUCCUUUGCCUUGCCCGAUAGCCAAGACUAGGGCCGCGGUAGGAGCAGGAGUGGUAAAAACCGAUUUACUCUUAAGACCACUUUUCGUGAUCUUCAAGAGUCCUUGAAGUUUUAUAAGUGUAACUUCCUCCUUGUUCAUGUGGUAUGUUAUACGGAAUUGAUCAUAACAUGAAGGUAAGGAGUGCAAAAUGAUGUCAAUUGCCAACUCCUUAGGGAAGUUCACAUUCAGUUUCAACAAACGGUCCACAUACCUUUGCAUUUUCUGCAUGUGGCUCGUAAUGGGUUCACCAUCCUUUAUCCGGGUUGUUAUCAUGGAGGAGAUGAUUUCAUAUCACUCCUGACGAGCACUCUGAUGGUAGUUGUCUAUCAAGUCCUGGUGCAUCUCAAAAGGGUAGUUAUCCUCAUAGGACUUUUGGAGCUCAUCCGUCAUUGUGGCCAACAUGAUUCAUGCCACUUUGGUUGCAUCUCUCUCAUGUGCCUGCUAUUCAGCGAUCUCCUCAGGAGUAGCAGACGACUUAAGUUCCUUAAGCUCAUCCUUCAUUUUGGAGCUCAUCCUGAUGUUCCUGAUCCAAUCCAUAAAGUUGGAUCCAUCGAAGAUGAAUCUCCUACAAAGGUUCAUGAGAGAGAAGGAGCCGAUAGGGUUUGAGCCAGAAGCAGUAUUAUUGGAAGACAUCUGAAAAGAAGAAAGACAAGGUUAGAUUAGAUAUAAAGAUAGUCCUAAAUAAGAGUCCCAAAUGUAAUAUUAAGGCUAGGACGCAACACAAUAUUUUAAAAUUUAGAAGAAGGAUGCCGUAAUCCAAGCUAUAAAAUAUUUAAAGGUAGGUGAAUGACGAUUCACCAAUUUCCACCAUGAAAAACGAAAUAAAUUAUUAGGUUUUAAUUGGUUUUGAAACUUCUAGAUUCUUUGAGAUUCAUAGAACUUUUCAAUGGCAUGUUUCAAUCUCGAGUGUGCCCUUCAGGUUUUGUGACUGGGAUGUCGAGGAUCACAAAACAAGGUGUGAAGUAACCAUGAAAAUUACUUGGUGCCCUUAAUGUUUAUCACUCAAUCGAUGUGCUGGUUAACCACACGCGAUCCACCGACCUAUGAUAAACCUUAAGCCACCCUUUGCCUACCUUGUUAAGUCCAGGUUAGUGUGCCGGUUAACCACACACGCUCCACUAACGACUUAAGCAAAGUGCAAAGUGUAAUUUCAUGGGUUAGCACCUUAUUCACAUUUGCCUAAUGUAACUAAGAUUGGGAAUUUAUAAAAACAUUUAGUUACUUUACGUUUAUCAUACUUUUAACGAGGAUUUAAAGUCCUUGUCCUACCUGUUCGGCAAACGACCCUCCACCAGUCAAGGAAGUGGUGGGUAAGAGUGGACACCCAUUAAGCUGCCAUUUUAUAGGCAGCAACCUUAUACCCCCCCUUAUAGGCCGGCUUCGUAAAUGAGGCCUACUAACGGUAAAACGACUUGUUCUUAUACAUAUAUAAUUAUUAUUAAACUUAUAAUAUUAUAAAGUAUAAGGGUUGAAUUUUAACUUUUAAAAUUCUAGGGGUUGGAACUAAAGUUUUUAAAGUGACUUUACAUGUUCCAAAACUUGAGGGCAAGUCUUUCAAAACUUUUCAUCUUUCACAACUUAUGAGUUAAUGGCUUAUUAAAAUGACAGACUUUUCAUUUUAUAUAACCUAUGUGUUUCUUUAAUGGACUUUAAAAGAAUGACUUUUGGUAAUCUAUAACUUGAGGAAAAAUUAUGGAUUCCAUUAAAACACAUAAUGAUCAAGAAUUAAACUAACAAGCAAGUUACAAAUAAUUCCUAUGAUCUUCUAAACUUGUAAGUUCAUGAACAUGCAUAUCAACAAUUUCAAGAAACAUACAUAAACCAUAUAAAACUUGAAUUUUUGAUAAUAGCCAUUAAAAAUGGAUUAGCAUAACCAUUACACCAACUAAAACAAGUUUUAUAAGACCAAAAUAGUUAGGGUAAUGUUUCUAGUCCAUUUCCAGCAGCAAAGCUCCAAAAACUACGCACUGGAUGACAAACUCGUCGAGUUCAUCAAGGAACUCAUCGAGUUCAUGAAAUAACACAUGAACUCAACAAGUUUUUGGCCACAACUCAUCGAGUUUUCUUGUCUGGACAGUUUUGGCUUUUGAAAAGCAAUUUUGCAUCAAGUAUUAAGUAAACAAGCCUAGGCUCUGAUACCACUGAAGGGUUUUGAGCAUUCUAACACUCUUAAGGUGUACAUGCAACCCUAGAAACCUUAGAUCUAUGUUUGACUAAGAUACAUGAAAAUUUGAUUUUCCAAGGUUCUUAACCUAUCUAGUAUAGCAUGGAGAACUUUUAAACAUAAAUGCUAGAAGAAGAACAUACCUUUUGUUGUUUGGAUUCCUUGAGAACCUUUUGAGCCUAGCACCUCAAGUAUGAUGCCUCAAAUGUCUCACACAACACCACAACACUUGGAAUAACCUUGAGAGAAUUUCACUAACACCUCAAAAUCGGCUAGCCCUCUUUACUUGCUUGUACAACUGCCAAUUUUGGUAGAGAAGGGGUCUUAAUAUAGUUGUGAAACAAGUAGGGUUACACCAUGUAAACCCUUAUUGUCAUGGCUUUCCAUAUUCCAUGAUCCACAGGUUUGAAACCUCCAUGGACUAUCCAUGGAGCACCUUACGGGUUUUAGCCUAAUCCAUACAAACCAUGGAUCAUUAACCCACUAUAAAAGACUAGAUGAUUUACACAAUCAACCCCAUAUAUUUAAUUAGUCUCUUUUUGAUCACCUAAUUAACUCCAAAUUAAUUCUUUGAUCAAUACUAAUUAAAUAAUAUUAUUAAUAUAUUAGAACUUAUAAUAUAUUAAUAAUCCUUAAGUGCCCUUUCUCUCAUUUAGUCUAUCCAAGUGUUGUAAUGCCAUGCAAACCAAAUGGACCAUGCUAAUCGGGUCAAGCACAUUCCAGAAAUAGUUAUGGACUUAGACACCUAAUCCAAUAACUAUGUAUGGACAUAAGUGUCGUACAUUGUAUUGUUCGCUUGAAGCUGGAGAGAAGCAAUUUAUGGGCCCUGAGAAAGUCCAUCAGACUACUGAAAAGUUAAAGGUGAUUAGAGAAAGGAUGUUAGCAGCUCAGGAUCGUCAAAAGAGCAAUAGUGAUAAGAAAAGACAACCGAUGACAUUCAAAGUUGGAGAUUCAGGCUUGCUUAAAGUCUCAUCAUAGGGAAGAGAGGAAAGUCUAGUCCAAGGUUUAUUGGACCGUUCAAAGCUCUUCAGAAGAUCGGGAACCAUCUUUACAGGCUAUAACUACCAAAAGAACUAGAUGGUAUACAUAACACUUUCCACGUGUGUUAUUUGAGGAAGUUCAUGGGAGAAGUUCUCAAGAUAAUUCCAAUUUCAGAAUUAAGAAUGGAUGAGAGUAAGAGGCCAAUCGAAGAGACCUAAGUGAUUAAUGACUAUAAAACAAAGAAGUUACGACGCAAAAUGGUCGACUUAGUGCUUGUGAAAUUGAAACAUACGACUGGGUCGAACUUCACCUAGGAAACAGAGAGUGACAUGAUGAGUCGUUAUCCACAUCUGUUUGCUGAUGCAUGAUUCCGGUACAAAAUCAUCCUAAGGGGGAGAGAAUUGUAAUGCAUGUGUUUCAGGGCUACGCAUUAGUAUAAGAAUGAAAUAGUCAAGGUCAACCAUUGUAACUCAUUUUGAAGUAAUAAGGAGGAAUUACUUGAAUAUUAUGUGAAUUAUGUGAUUUUAUGUGUUUUACACUUGUUUAUAAUGAUAUAAUAAAUUAAGAAUGAAAAAAAGCAUCAAAAAUAGAACUUUAGAUAACCCUGAUAUCUAUGAAGAAAGUUGUAGUAGUCGUGACAAGUAUUCCGGGGAUAUAAAAAACACUGAAAUCCGAGUUAUAAUGAAGAAGUUAUGACCUGUAGAAGUUUCGCGAUAGAAACUGCACGACACUGCGUGACGUAAAAAGUGAGUUUAUGAUAAAGUGCUUUUUAGCCUUAGCGAUCAUAAUAAAAAUCGUAUUGCUCACUAAACCGAGAGUGUGCAUAAAAAGAACGCCCAAGUCUGACUUCUUAUGACAAAGUUAAGAUUUUUCCAAGUUUUGGAUUAACAAUACACAACCCAAAGUUCGAAUAGUAGAUUGAAUGGCUUUCAGAUGACACAACCUAAAUGGGAAUCAAAGGUCUUGUUAAUAGUACGUCAACGGUAAAAAGACAGACGAAAACGGACGUCGGAUGAAGAAGUUAUGAAUUUUUAACGAACUUUUCCUGUCUUGGCGUGUUUAAAAUAUAACUUUAAAAAUAGAAUCAAAAUUAGCCGACAGAGUCUAAACAAAAGUUGUAGAGUACAGUCCCGCCUACGCGUGGAUAUGAAGAACAUCAAAAAUGGAUUUCGUAUGCGAAAGUUACAAAAUUUUGAAGUCGAGGGUGUGAAUUGCGAGCUGGGUGCGAGGCUACGCACCGCGUAGCCCAAGGAACGCCUCCAGUCCGAAGUAUGCCCUGCGUACGAGGAGUGAACGGUGCACGGUCCCUUCUCCUACAGUCUGAAAUAAGCCACGAAGCUCCUGCCGAUGUCAGAUGCAUGUUACUAUGCUCCACAUAGAUCUGAAGUACUCCCCGCGUACUGCGAGGCCUCUCGGCCUAUAAAAGGGUACGAGGUGCAACCGAUUUUCUCAGACUUUUGUCCACUUCUUUCUCUCUCUACUCACUCUCUAGCCUCCCUAAACCACCCUAAGCCUAGGAAAGCUCCCUAGCACUAUAAGAAAUCCUCGGAGCGCCCGAAGGCUCCUAGAAAAAUAAGUUUUUUGGUUUGAAACUCUUCCCGUGCAGAACCCGGUUUUCAACAAACCUCCUGAUUUCAUCAAAGGAAUUCUUUUUUAAAGAGUGAAGUGUUGUCUGAGUUUAGAAUCACCACCUUAACAAGUGAUUGCAUAGUUACUUUCAUCUUACACAUAGAUAUGAAGUAUUUUAUAUAAUUUACUCGCUAUGUGUGCAAUUGUGCAUAUUAUCUAUUUACUUGAGAUCUUUGCUGAUUGAAAGAUUUAAAAUUUGUUUUUUAGGUCGAAACUGUAUAUUUAUUUUAUAACUUGAGAUCUAUAAUGGAUGAAAGAUUUAAUCUUUGUUUUUCAGAUCUAGACCUUUUUUUCUUCAGAUCUGAACCGUAUAUAUAUUUUCUUUUCAGAACUAAGCUUUUUUCUUUAGAUCUGAACCGUCAAUGUAUUUUCUUUUUAGAUCUAGGAUUUUUCUUCAAAUCUAAACUCUAUAUGUAUUUUAUAUCUACAAAUAUGUUGGGUAAAACAUGGGUAGAUGAAAUAGUUGGUGUGUCAUGAAAAAUGAGUUGGAGGAUGAGAUGAAAAGUGAUAUAGAUCAUGAGAUGAGGGUGAGUGGUGAGAAAUGAGAGAAGCCUUUGCCCAAGUGUUGGCCCCGUCAUCUAGCAGAGUAUAGAUGACAACCAUAGACUCUUCUAGAUGGUCUGAUGGAACACUAGUAGGCUCGUACCAUGUAGGUGUUGUGUACAAUAUGUUCGCCCAGUGUACUUUAACAACCCAUUGACAUUUAUUGCAGGUGGACUCCUGCAAAUAAUACUAUUGACAAAUGAGAGCUAUGGACUUAGCACCCGUUGGAUGAACCUUGGAUACUAUGGAUUUAGUGCUAUUGUAGAAACCCUGGCGAUGAUUUAAUUCAUGCCUAUUCCUUAGGACAAACCUUAGGAAUGAAUGAAUAAAGAGUAGUUGCUUAUUAGGGUAGGUCCUUAAGAAUAAAGAUGAUAAUAGGGUUGGUAAUUGGGUUGAUUGUUGAUGUUUAAACAUAAUACAUAAUAUUAUUGUGGGUUAAAAACCCUAUGUAUUCACCAGGUUUCCCAAACUAACCCACUCAUUUUAUUUGUAUCACAAGUGUCGAUAUAAAGCUGCACUAUAGCGAGAGAUUAAAGAGAUGUAGAUCAUUAGUGAAAAUGAAUGUAAGUUCUAUUUAUGCUCAUGCUUCUAUAUUGACACUGACAUCCCAUUGUAUUACAAUGAAAAAAACAUAUUUCUUCGAAAAUUCUUUGAUAGCAUAUUUAUCACGUUUUUCUAGGAACAAAUUCUGCAACACUUUUCUUUAAAAUGUUGCUAUGAUUUGAAAAUAAAGCGUAAACAAAUCGGUCUUUUCUGGCCGAGAAAAUGGGGAUGUCACACAUGCUGUCGUGUAAAAUUCAUAGAAAAUUCUAGAAAAAUCAUAUAGACUUGUGCCAGCACUUUAUGAAAACAUAAGAGUCCAAUAUACUAUAAUAUGAAAAAAAAUUCAACUUAUUCAGGUUUAAGUGGGGCUAAAGUGGCAUUGAACAGGUUGUUGUUUCAGGUUAAAAUAUCAUAAUUUUACCAAAUAACUAUUUUGCAUGUUUCGGUAGUAUAAUUGCAAUUAUUUGUUCAUGAAAACUUCUAGUAAUCAAUUUAUGUGUUCUUUAAUAGGGGAAGGUUAGAUACUUUAGUUCCUACAAGAGUUGAAGUGUAUAGAGGAUGCGUUUUUGACAAAAAGGUGAGUCCAUCUUUGUGGUUAUUUAAACUACUUGUUAGGAAUUCCACAUCUCAGAGGGAUUGGAAUGAACCUAGGUUAUUUAGGUUUCUUGUACCGCAAUUGUGAAUGAUGUGUUUAUGUGAAUGAUGUUUCCUUCAUGCUAUUCUUUUUGUUUGUUAUUUUGAUGUGAGGGGUCUUAUAGGUCCAUCAUAGAAAGAGGGAUUAGUGUUGGUUGUGUGUGGUAUGUGCAUGCUAUGAUUUUCUAAAAUUCAUGUAUAUGAUGCUUAGUACAAUGAAUGCUAUUGCUAUAAGAUGCCUUAAUGAUGAAGUGAUGAUAUGUGCAUGAUUAUAUAAAAGAUGUAAAAUUCCUUAACUUGAUAUGUCUUGUUGUAUGUUUACAUAUUGUGAAGUAGGAAAGUAAUAUUCCAUUUAAUAUUAAUAUAUAUUGAUCAUGAUUACUUAAGGAGGUUUGUAAUGUAAUCCUUAUGUGAUGAAUUAAUAAUAUAUUAAUUAAAAAGGGGAAUACACUUAGUGGGCGUAAAGGGUAGCAACCUAGUCUUAGGUGUGUACCCUAUCCGGAUACUUGUGAGGACCUUAUAGGUUGAAAUAUAUAUGAAUGGAAAGAGAUUAGGCCAAUAUUGACGCUGGGUGAUUUUUCUGGACUACCACUCGGGAAAUGCUUCAUGGACACUAAGGUGUUCGAGGACUGGAGUGAUAUCGGUGUAGUGAUGAUGUUGGAUCAAAUAUCACAUUUGAGUGGGAAGUUUCUAGUGAUGGUAAACAUUGACAAGUACCACUCUUGAAUGACAAAACUCAUACUUGUAUGUGAAAUGUUAGAGUUGCAAAGCAAUGAAUGGGUAGAAAUGUUAUGAGUUAGAGUCACGCCUCACUUACUGAAUUUGGUCGAUCCGGUCACAUUAUUAGUGAAUGAGGUUUUUACCUCUUGGUUUAGUGAUGGACCCAGUGGGGGAAGGGUUGGGCCGAUCACUUAGUAGUGAAUAGGUUUCGCCUUCAGUUUAGCGAUGGACCUACGUGUAGGGUGGCUACCUGACGGGUUAGUGAUGGACUCAUGUAUGGGGUCUCUACCAUGCGGGUUAGUGAGGGACCCAUGGCUAGGUUAGGAAUAAUUAAUAUUUCUCCAAUAUAAAAGAUAAAUAAUAACAGAAGAUCCUAAUGGUACUUUAGUGAUGAAUGUGAUGUACGCGAUGUAUAUGAUGUGUGUGACGUAUGUGAUGUCUGUGAUACAUGUGAUGUAUAUGAUGAUAUUUUAUGUGUGUUUUCCUAACAUUAUACUUAUGGUUGACUCACUUAGAAUUUGAUGACACUUGUUUCCUUGUUUGUUGUUGCCUUGCGUUGGUACAAGUAGCAUAACUUGUCAGCUUAGUGAAGAUGCAGCUUUGGGGUAGUUACACUCCAGUUUAUGUAUCAGUAUUGAUACAUUGGUUAUGUUUUCAUAAAAUUAAAAAGAAGACUUCCGUUAACGUAUUUUGUUAAAUAAACGUUUUUUAAAAAUAAAAAAAAAUGUCGGUGAAAAAUCACAAUGUUAUGAAUGGUAUCAGAGUCAGUGCACGGGUCGAUGUGUGACGUCGAACCCUAUAAUGGGUGGUGAAGGUGGGUUGCACUGAUCCCACAUAGGCUGGGAAGGAGAACUAAUCAUUCCUUGUAAGGAGUGUGGAUACCUUCCCUAUCAAAACAUGUUUUAAAGUCGUGAGGGGAGCAGAUACCAUAAGAACUCUACAGUUAAGCGUGCACGAGAAAGAACAAUUCAGUGAUGGGUGACUCCCUGAGAAUUGUUUCAUGAUGGGAGUCCAAAGCGGACAAUAUUUUGAUACGAGCUAGAGGGGGAUGUUACAUAAGCACACAUAGCCGAGAUUUGUAUUUUGGAUACUUGUUCUACAGACCUACUGAGAACGUGGUCUCUAAAGCUCUAAGGGGAGUCUUUCACAAGAGAGAGCUCAUAUUCAAAGAGGAAAAUGAGAGUUUAUUUGACCUUGAAGAGAUUCAGGAGUUACCAAUGAAGGAACCUUAACAGACACUAGAUCUCAACCAGAGGAGGAGAGGCUCCUAUUGAGCCUAUUGACAAUUCAUUACCUCUUCAUCGGUUCGGUAGGGUUAGCAUGCCACCUUUGUUUUGUGGUUUCCAUAUAACGUCGGAUGAUGACACAUUUAUUAAUGAUAGUACACUGGUAAAUAUAGAUGAUCUAACUAACUACAAGGAAACGAUGACGAGCCCUAAGGCUGCUAAGUGGAAAGAGGCAAUAAAUAGUGAGAUCCAGUCUGUGUAUAAUAAAAAAGUUUGAAAUUUGGUUGAUCAUGUACUACAUCGAAAGAGAGUUAGGUGCAAAUGGAUCUUUAAGAAGAAGACAAUCAUGGAUGGAAAGGUGCACACAAUCAAGGAACGACUAUUUGCGAAGGUUUUUACUGAAACCCAAGGGAUUGACUAUGAUGAGACCUUCUUACCAGUGGCUAAGUUAAAGUCUAUUAGGGUUAUUCUAGCAAUAACAACAUUUCAUGAUUAUGAAAUAGGAAAAACGGAUGUUAAAACCGCUUUCCUCAAUUGGAAGUUCUCUAAGGAUGUUUACAUGAGUAAGAUAGAGGGUUUUAUACAUGCCAAGCUUCCUCAUAGAGUGUGUAAGCUUGAGAAACAAUUUAUAGAUUGAAACAAGCACCUCACACCUGUAAUCUUUGCUUCCAUGAGAAAUUUAAAGAGUUUGGUUUCUCUUGGAGUGAGGAUAAGUCUUGUGUGUAUGUCAAGGCUAGUAGGAGUAUAGUGACUUUCGUAGUAUUGUAUGUUGAUGACACACUCCUUAUUAGAAAUGACAUUUUGACCCAGAAAGAAGUAAAAUCUUGGCUUGGAAAGUGUUUCUCCAUGAAGGACCUGUUGGAUAAGGUUUCUAAGUCCAUAACUAUAUUUGAGAUGUACUUGACCCGACCCGGCAUGGUCCAUUUGGAUUGCACUUCACCCGAACAAUUUAUAUGGACAAUCUUUUGAGAACAGUAUAAGUAAUGAUUUAUUAAUAUAUUAUAAGUUCUAAUAUAUUAAUAAGAAGUCAUGUUAUUUAAUUAGUAUUGAUCUACAAUUAAUUUAGAAUUAAUUUAGUGAUCAAAAGUAUUACUAAUUAAGUAUGAACUCUUUAUUUAUAUAGUGUGGGCUAAUGCUUAUUAAGAAUGGGCUAGGCUUGCAUGGUAAGGCCAUGGAUAGUCCAUGGAGCUUUAACCCAUGGAUUUCAUGGAAAUGAAAAGUCAUGGGUAUUAGGGUUUACAUGGAUGUAACCCUAAUCAACCACACUAUAUAAAGGAGUCCUUGACACUUGAAAUCAACUAGUUUUUGGUGUGAGAACUAAGAGGGCCAAUUUCAAGAAGAGUGCUACUAUUCUCUCAAGUUUCCAAGGUUUGUGGUGAUUUGUGACUUCCAUUUGAGGCAUCCACAUUAUUGGUGCUAGGCUCUCAAACUCCAAGCAAUCAACAACUAGUAAAAGGUAUGUAACUCUACCAGCUUAUUAUGUUUUAAAAGUUCCCCAUGUCAUGCUAGUUAGGUUAAGAACCUUAGAAAAACAAAUUUGCAUGUAUCAUAGUAAAACAUAGAUCCAAGGUUUCUAGGGUUGCAUGUACACGAUAGGUGUAUUAGAAUGCUCAGAACCCUACAAGACCUAGUGGAAACAACCUAUAUUCUUGGAAUGACGAUUUUGAGGGAUAUAAAGAAAUGAUUUAUUGGCCUUAGUAAGAGUACAUACUUAGAUAAAGUACUAAGACAUUUUAGUAUGGAGAAUUACAAGAAAGGGGAUUUACCCAUCCAUCAUACUGUUAAGUUGAGUAUGACUCAGAGCCUUGUACAAAUGAGGAAAUAGAUGACAUGAGUUGUGUUCCAUAUGCUUUGGCUGUAGGUUCGAUCAUGUAUGCUAUGAUAUGUAUUCUCCUUGAUGUGUCUUAUUCUUUUAGCAUGGUUAGUCGAUUUUAUGGAAAUCUAAGCAGAGCUCAUUGGACUGCAGUUAAGAAUAUUCUUAAGUAGUUGUGAAGAACAUAGGACAUGGUUGUAGUCGUUCGUGGUAGUGAUACGUUAAGAGUAAGUGGAUAUAGUGAUGCCAAUUUUUAGACAGAUCGAGACAACUUUUGUUCUCAAUCACACUGGUGUGUUAAAUGGUGGAGUGGUGACUUGGAAAAGUUCAAAGUAGGAUAUGGUUGUUGAUUCUACUUGUGAAUCAGAGUACAUAGCAACCAUUGAGGAAUAGAAGGAGGUGGCUUGGUUGAAGAAAUUCAUCGGCAAUCUCAGAGUAGUCCUGACCAUUCAAGAGCCAUAGGAACUUUUUUGCGAUACUGAAGGGGUCGUUGCUUUGACAAAAUACCAAAGGAUCAUGGUAGAUCCAAGCAAAUCAACAUAAAAUGUCAUGAUAUCGGACAUAGGGUUUAAGAACUUAAUCUCCGGAUGAAGGGAGUGCCAUCAGAAGACAAUCAUGCAUAUCCUUUCACGAAGGUUCUGAGUGGGGUUAAACAUAACCAUCAUGCAAGAAGCAUUAGCUUAAGAGAAGAUCUAUGUUUUAGUAGUUAUUUGAUAAUUUUAAAACUUUGUAACAAAAUAAAUGUAAUUGGUUUGGUGAUUAGAUAUUAGAGAAUUAUUUAUGAGUAUUAUACUGCCUUUUUCAAUUAUUUAUUCUUGUGAUUCAUUUUGCAUGUUUUACUUCCUGAAUGAUUUGACUAUUCGAAGUAAGUAGUGAAUUAAGACUGUAAUGAAUAGAUUGUAUAUUGUCUUUUGGGAUAAUACAUUGCAAUGGGUUCCUACAAUAUUCAUGAGUACUUAGAAUAAUGGAGAUUUUGAGUAAUGGAUAAACCCACAAUAAGAAAAUUAAUUCAAGGAUUAUAUCACAAGUAAUUAUGAGAUGAUAAAAUCUUUUAUUCUUCAAAGAAAGAUAUAUAAGUUGUAAUUUAAAAGUCGGUUGUACAUUGGUAUUGUGAAAAAGCAUCAGUAACAUGAUGUUAUAAAAUGUAAUGUCAUGUAUGAUUUGGUGAGUAAAAGAUAUAGGUAUAUAAUUCGAAGUUUAUUCGUUCCUUUUUGCCUAAUAGGAAAAGCAAUAUCUUUCGACCCCUCAGUGAUUUGGUGUUGGUAUUAUAGUGUUGGGCCCAACCAGAUUGAAUUGAUGUGUUCAAUUAGUAGUCUAAUGACAUCAUCGCAAAUCAAGAAAUAGAAUUUUAGACAAUGAGAUUGAUUGUAAUCAAUAACUCAUGUCCAUACGAUAUCUUGAAGAAUGAAGGAAUAUUUGAUCACUUAUCUUAGGGCCAAUGUCUGAUUGGAUCAAAGUUCGGUAGAAAGCACACUUUGAUGUAUAUUUUAGAAGUUAUACUUGCAAUUAUAGUUACAAAAUUAUCCAAGUGGGAGACUAUUUGAUUAAGGUGUAAGACAAUAACUAAAUUGGUAUAUACUUGAAUUAAGAGCAAAGUACUUUUUGGGUUGCCCUCAAAACUAGUAAUUGACUAGAAUGACCUUUAGAGAGAGAGAAAGAGAGAGAGAGAGAGAGAGAGAGAGAGAGGCUGAUUAUUUUAAUUUAUUAUAUGAUUAAUAAAUGGAAAUAGAUAUUUUUUUUAAUAUAUUAUGAGAUUAAUAUAUUAAUUUGAAAUAGUAUUCUUUAAUUAAAAAUUAAUUGGAAUAAAUUUGGGAUUAAUUAAAAGUGCAGGGACUUAAGCUGUAAUCAUUCAAUAGUUGAAUAAGAGAGGUUCAUGAACCUUCCAUGGGUCAUGUAUGGUUUUUAAGGGUUUUAAAUUAAUCCUUAAAGAUAAUUAUCGAGUUGGAUAAUUACCAAAUUUGAAAUAAUAUUAUUAUAUUCAAAUUAGGGUUUCUAAGGCUUCGUGUAUCAGCUAUAAAUAGACCCCACUGGCUCCUUAUUUUCGUCCACAACUUGUACUAAAGGAAUAGCCGAAAAUCCUACUCCCUCUCCUUUUCUCCUCAAGUCCUCUUAUUUAGUAGGGUUUGGGUACAAACCAUCAGAGUAAUUGGAUUUCUAGUGCUUACUUUCCAAGACAUUUGAAGAAAGGAAUUGGUUUGAUUAUUUUCUAUAAUAAUCAAAAGGUAUGUAAACCCUAAUCCCUUUUUAAUUUUUAUUAUAGUAGGGCCUACUUAGGGUUCUUGAUGGUCAUUAGAUUAUAGCUAUCAAUAGAGAAAACUUAGAUCCAAAUAGGUUGUAUGUGAACAUAAGGGUUAAGUUAUUUCGCCUCAUGCUUUGAUUUUUAACCUAUAAAAAGCAAUCAGGAAGAUCAUAGGGUAUAUCAUCAAGCCCCAUAGUGUCGUGAUGAUGGUGUACAUGAUUAGUCAUUAUGUUCUAGACUUCAGACUAUAGAUGUCUCCUUACUAUCCGUCGAGCAAUUUUGAUUUCUUCGGACGUGACCGUUUUUUCUAGAAGUUUGAUUGCCUUCUGAUUUUCUCCAUAAAUACAUGGUUUCUUACUAUCUUUUUCUCUUUUAUGUUCUAUCACUAUUCCUUCUUCUUCUUUUUUCUUCAACUUCCUAAGAAAUGGAUUUGCUUGGUACCAUAGUUUCUACUUUCAGUGUGACCCCAUGCCAGAAUAUGUUGAUGCUCCCUAUGAGAAGUACGGCUUCCAAAGAGAUGAUGGGGUGCUAAUUCCUUUGGAUGGGGCUUCAUUUCUAGAGCCUCCCCAUGCGAAGGCAAGUAUAUUCUUCAAAAAUUUCGAUGCUAGCUACCAACUUCCAAUGACCGAGUUUCUGGACCAGGUGCUACAUAACAAUGGCGUUAACAUAUAUGAAAUCACUCCCAAUGCUGUCAAUAAGGUUGUGGCUUUCGAGAUGUUAUUCUGAUCCCAUGGUUUCCUUCUCAACAUUUGGGUGUUCAAGAUUAUUUUGGUUUUCUACUGCAGGGAAUAAGUUUACUUUCUAUGCUCGAAAGAACGCCCAUGUGUUUGUUCCUGAUGGGGGAAUAGUCCAAAGAACUAGCAGAAUCACUGAUUUCGGGUGAACGACUCUCGUGUUGGUGGUACUUACUUUAGCACCGAUCCAACUUUUGAUAGCGCCCCUAAAUUUCACCCACCGAAGACUCCAUGAAUUUUUCUGGUUUAUAUGUAUCAACCCAAAUCACCAUGUUGGGACGUGAUUUGUGGUUCAUACUUUACUUUAGGUAGCUUUUAGAGUUUGCGGUCUAGGACUGAAAACACCAUGAAUUCAGUGGUGUUUGGACCGACAGCACCAUGUGAAUUCAGUAGGCUUAAUGAUGCGUUCGGUUGGGCUUUGGGAUGGGCCUUUGUAAUUAGGUCUAGGUAUACAUUGUACUAUUUCAGCCGUGUUUAGGGUUGGUCAUUCUAGUUGAUUGAUUUCAAGUUUUGGGAGAGAACCAAGAGAACCCAGAGCUAUAAAGAGUCUUAUGUACUAGACUAUUAAUCAAUAUAGUGUGCAUUGAAGAUUCAUAUUGUGUUCUUAUUUCAUAUUUACGAUUUGUUUCAUUCACGGGAAUUGGGAUUCAAAACCAAUCUACUGAUUUGGAUUGAUACCUAGAUCGGGGUUUUACAAUUGGUAUAAGAGCCAGGAUUAGUAUCAAUUGAAUUGGCUAAAUAUUAAAUGUUUUUUCAUCGUGUUUUUAGUGUUUUUGAGUUCUUUUUUGUCACACCCCCGAACCAGACUGCGGAAACAUCCGGGGGCUCAUGUAACAAACAAUUAAAUUAUCAUCACAAUGAAUAUAUAUGAAACAUAAUAUAUUCACCACCAAGAUUACAUAUAACAACCAGCAUUGUUCACAUCAAGUACAUUGUUAUAAAAUACAUAAAUUCAAAGUAUUAAUAGUACGAGGAGUGAUGUUACACAAAAUAAAUUCACACAUACUUGAAAAUCUUCCUGCUUAACGAUUACCUUCCAAUACAAGUUAUUUUAAAAACGGUCAACAUAUAUAAUGUUGGUGAGUUCAUAAGUAUGUUUGGAUAAAAGUCUUUAUAUCUUUCGUAAAAACCCAGAAAAUCCGAUAUUUUCCAUAAAAAUGUCUGAAAAUGACGUGAACAUCAAGUAUAAAUGCAUGUGUGAAUUUCAUAGCAAUAACUUAUUUGAUUGUAGUUUAGAUUUCUUUGUAGUGUAAGUAACUGAUAAUUGAACAAUAGUAUUUCCCCAGAAAAUCCGAUAUUUUCUGAUAUUUAAUAAUGUCGAGAUUCUUCUAUCAUUAAUUAAGUUGUUUUGUACUGACAUCAACGAAGGGUUAAUCUUCAAAAUGUUAAAUUGGUAUUGGAUCUCUAUAUGAGCCGUUAUAACCAUGCAUGAUAAUGACUAGGUUGCCCGUCUUGGCAUUUUUCCAAACCCCAGUAUUUGCUCAAGGUUUUGUCGCCCUAGACUGGCCUAGUCUAGCUGUAGCGAACAACUAAGGCGUGGGGGGUCACCCUGUAUAGAUCUAUACACAAACUCCUGUUCUCCCUCCAGGAAACUGUGGUUAUAACUACAGGCUACGAUUGUACACUUAGAGGUGCCAACCGACAUGUCUCACAAGAUUCUCAACCUUUUGUACUAUGUUUAAUGUUUACGUGUAUGUUGUAUGUUUUCAUAUUCAAGAGCUACAUAUAUAAGUAUACAAAUUUGAAUGAUUAUGCAAAGGUAUAGUUACGAUCUACUAAGCAUGUGAAUUUCAGUCCAAGCCCAAUUAGCAUGUAAAUGGACCACCAAGGCCCAACAAACAUGUGACCCAUAGCAUAGGCUCAAAUUAACAUGUAAAUGGGUCACAAGGCCCAAUAAACAUGUCAUGGAAAAUAUUGGUCUCAAUAUACACUUGAAUGGGCCCUUAAGGCCGAUUGACCAUGUAACGUGAAUAUUAGGCCCAAUAAAAUUUUUAUCGUUGUAUUUCGUUGUUUGUUUUAGUUCGAGGUUUACCGAAUUGAAUAUAAAAAGUCCUUUUUGUUGAAACAACGUUUUUGGCUGGUAAGCCUAAAAUUUUCAAUUAAGGCCCAAAGUUUUGUAAAAAUGACACUUUAGUCCAUAAUUUAUAAAAAUUUCUAAUUUCGUCCCAAAUGUUUAGAUAUUCACGGAUUUAAGCCAAAAACUUAUAUUUUGACAUUUAUGGCCCAAAUUUGCAGAAAAUUAAAUUUUCAGUCCCCUGUUUGUAAAAUUGACACUUUCGGCCCAAUUUUGAUAAAAGUUACAUUUUUGGUCCAAUUUAGAAAUAAAUGUUAUUUUCACACCUAAAUUUGGUUUAUUUACAUUUAUGACUCAAAAUUUGGUCAAAUAACAUUUUUAAUCCCAAAACGUCAAUUUUUUUUGCAAAAUUGGGCCCAAAACCAUGAGGCCUAAAUAUUUGGCCCAUUAAGCUAAAAUUUCCAUUUUUGGCCCUUUGGAAAUCAUUUUUAUCAUAAAAAUCCAUUUUUAUACAAGAAGGACCUGUUUGAUCCCUAUAAAAAACAUAAAUGUCACUUUUUCCCUUAUCUUUUGUUUUCUUGACAAUUUUGACCCUUAACAAGGUUUUCGUUUUAAACUUUUAUAUGUUAAACAUAUAAAAACUUUUAAGUUGAUAAUAUAAUGUAUGAAGUGGCUUAGUUCAUGGAACUUUACUCAAUGUUCCUUAACAUGUCGAGAUUUGUUAAUAUCUAACACAUUUUUACAAAAUAAACUAAGAAAUCACACAAGAUAUGCAUAUAACACAUAGAUCUACACAUUUUACUUGCAUUCUCCCCCAAAAAUCAUAUGAAAACCGAAAACAAGGGGGUAUGAACUCACCUUUGCUUUGAUGUUUCGGUUUUGAUGAAGUAAUGUAAGAAGUUGAUGUGAUUUUGGCUCUAACAAGCUCCUUGAGUGGAUUUCGAGCUUAUGAAGUUUCUAAGGUGUUAGGUCACGAAAUGAAGCUUCAUAAGAGAGUCUUAUUAACUUAAGGAUGAAAAUCAAAGACUUAAAUAUGAUAACAACUUACCAAAGAGUGAUGAUAUAGAUGAGAACCUAUUGAAGAUCCACACAAAGUCUCGAAAUUAUGGAUGAAAGAGAGGUAUUCUUGAGAGGAUUCUUGAGAUGAUUUUGAAAAGAAAUGAAGGUGGUGAGAUGUUGGUGUUGGCCGAGAAUAAUAAAGAGAGGAAGAGAGACUAUUCUUGAAGCAAUUUGGGUUAUACAAGUUUACAUGGAAGUAUGAGAAACAAUUACCUUGUUGAAUGGUGAAUAAUAUGGAGGUGACACCACCAAAGUCAACCCCCAUUGUAUUUCUUUUUUUUCUUUUUUGUUACUCAUGGGCCGAGAAUUUUGGGUUGGAGAAGGGGUGGAAUAUUUAGGGCCUUUACUUGUCUUUACUCGAAAUUAUGAGGCCCAAAUGAUUACUUUUCGGCCCAUUAGGCUCAUUAGAUGGUUCACGACCCAGAAUGGCAUAAAAGAAUGGAUUUAUGGCUUACUUGGGUUAAUUGGAUUAUUUAUGGUCCAAUAAGGGCCAUUAGGGUUACAUGAAUCAUCCUAGGCCCAAAUGGUCCAAAAUGUUAUAGAGUUAUGAAUUGGGUCCAUUUAGAAUCCAAAUAGGGUUUCCAAGCCCAAAAUAGUUGAAUUGAAUGCUUCUUGGUCCAUUAGGCCCAAUAAGAAAAUCAUAGUCCAAUAUGGACUCAAACCGGGAUUCUUUGGGCUUUCACACUCUUUGUUGAACAUGAAAGGUGAAUUUAAAUGAGCACUGAGUGAUAUUUACUUAGAGUAUAUGUUUUACAAUAGUUGAAUGAUUACAAGAGAGUAGAAUUUCCUAGCUAAAAUGCUAGUUGUGACAUCAUCCCCCCGUUAGAGGGAAUUUCAUCCCGAAAUUCUUUUGAAAACUAGGUUUGUGAAGGAAAGAAUAAGUGACGGUAUUUUUGCUUCAUUUGGUCUUCACGUUCCCACGUUAAUUUCGGUCCACGUUUAGCGCUCCAUCGAACCUUCACAAUCGGAAUGCGACUUUGCUUUGUACGCUUCACUUCCCUAUCCAUAAUCUCGACUGGUUCUUCGACGAACAUGAGAUUCUCGUUUAUCUCAAUCUCUUCCAAAGGGACGAAAAGGGUUUCAUAUGAUAGACACUUUUUCAGAUUCGAGAUGUGGAACACCGGGUGUACGUUGUUGAGUUCAACAGGUAGCUGCAACUUGUAAGCCACUGGACCAAUCCAGUCAAGAAUCUCAAACGGUCCAAUGUAUCGCGGGUUCAAUUUUCCUCGUUUCCCAAAGCGAAUCACUUCCUUACAAGGAGAUACCUUUAACAACACUCAAUCCCCAAAUUGAAAUUCUAAUGGCUUUCGCCGCUUGUCAGCAUAACAAUUUUGUCGGUCUCGCGAUUCUUGAAGUCGGGCAUUGAUUUGCACUAUCUUUUCAGUCGUCUCACAAAUGAUUUCGGGUCCUGUAAGAGUAUUGGCUUGCGAUUUCCAUUUUGCUAGUUGAGUAUCACCCACCUCGGCUCAGCAUAGGGGGAAUCUGCAUUGACGACCAUAAAGAGCAUCGAAGGGAGCAACCUUGAUGCUCGUGUGAUAACUAUUGUUAUAUGAGAAUUCGAUCAGAGGCAAGUGGGUAUCCCAUGACUUGCUGAAGUCCAUCACGCAAGCUCAGAGCAUAUCCUCGAGUGUUUGGAUGGUGCGCUCACUCUAACCAUCCGUCUUUGAACGAGAAGGAGGAUUUGAACGAGAAGGAGCAUAUCCUUGAGUGUCUGGAGGGCCUUGAACGAGAAGGAGGCUUUGGAUCAAGCAUUUAUUCAGUAGUAGAAGUUCUUUGAAGGUAAAAAGGCAAUACCUUGACCACUUGUUUGUUAGAUCUCUCCACUAGAGAGUUUAUGGCCAUUUCUAUCUUCUCUUUGAGUCCUUUAGUUGUUUGAGCAUAAUACCAACUUGUAACACUCUAAAUUUUCAAAUAAAUAUUUCAUUUUAACACCACACAAAAAAAUAAAUUCAUAUUUCUCAAACCCACAUUUAUAAGUUGUUCAAAACACAAGACUACAAAAUGUUUACCAAUACGUCAAAAUCCUCAAAACAUAAUCUUAAGUUGGUGUCUACAAUCAUGUUGUUGCCUUCCCGCGAUCCUAUGAUGUACCUAAAACACUUUUCACACAACACUAUAAGCACGAAGCUUAGUAUGAUCCCCGAAAAAAUGCACAUCAAUAAUUAGCCUCUCAUGGUUAUAGUGUGAUAAGGACCCUUCGACUAUGUGCUUAGUGAAGACCCUCCAGUCUCAAAACUUGGGUUGGACCCUCGAGUCCGGUAUCUCAGUGAGGACCUGCUGGUCUGCCAACUCGGUUUGAACCUUCUGGUCCUAAAUGAAUAAGGCACAGAAUAAUAUACAACAUAAAUCAUAAACACAAGAUGCAUGAUAUCACAAAACUCAGUAUAAGCACAUAAGACCCUCCGGCCAAUAAGUCAAAUAAGACCCUCUGGUCAAAUAGUUUUACCACUCAGGUAAGUACAAUGAGAAGACUCUCAUCGUACUCAACGAUUAGUCCAAACCCCGCCUACAUGUCAUAAUUAUCUCUAAUUAAGAAUUUAUAACAACAACACUAGAGAUGUUAAACUAACCCCUUUUUUAAAUCUCAAAAAGGGUGAAAGACCAUUUUACCCCUCCAUUGUCACCAAAAUCCAUAAAGUUAACCAAACCCUAAAAGUCAACGAAAGUCAACACUAGAGUCAACAGUCCACCUUGACCCAACUCUUCGAGUGCAUCUAUGCAACUCGUCGAGUUUCUUCAGUUUUGUGAAAAAUUGGGAAAAUCUAAAUCAACUCGCUGAGUAGAGGUUGAGAUAGUCGCGUGAUUUUUAGAGUCUACUUGACUAGUUGGGGGACCCAACUCAACGAGUAGGAGUUGAGUGUGAAAACCUUAAUUUUCGGGGUUUGUACCCUAUUUAAAGGACCUUAAUUCCUUUACCCCGCCUCCCUCAUUACCUUAGCACUCUGAGAGAAACCCUAAUCGAGCUGUUAUCAUUUGUGUGAGAGAGAGAGAGAGAGAGAGGCUAAGAGUGUGUGUUUUGCUGCAAUAUUUGAAGGAGCUUGAAGAGUAGAGGGCCUGGAACGAGAAGGAGGCUUUGGAUCCGACAUUUAUUCAGUAGUAACAGCUCUUUGAAGGUAAAAAGGCAGUACCUUGACCACUUGUUUGUUAGAUCUCUCUAUUAGAGAGUUUAUGGCCAUUUCUAUCUUCUCUUUGAGUCCUUUAGUUGUUUGAGCAUGAUACCAACUUGUAACACUCUAAAUUUUCAAAUAAAUAUUUCAUUUUUAUUACCACACAAAAACAUAAAUUCAUAUUACUCAAACCCACAUUUUUAAAUUAUUCAAAACACAACACCACAAUAUGUUUAACAAUAUGCCAAAAUCCUCAAAACAUACUCUCAAGCUGGUGUGUAGAAUCAUUUCGGUGCCUUCUCGCGAUCAUGUGAGGUACCUAAAACACAUUUCACACAACACUAUAAGCACGAAGCUUAGUGAGCUCCCCAAAAUACCCCACAAAAAUAAUUAGCCUCCCAUGGCUAUAGCUCGAUAAGGACCCUCCAAUUAUGUGUCUCAGUGAAGACCAUCCAGUCUGAAAACUCGGGUUGGACCCUCGUCUCCGGUAUCUUAGUGAUGACCCGCUGGUCUCACAACUCGGUUUGGACCCUCGUGUCCUAACUUAAUAAGGCACUGAAUAAUAUACAACAUAAAUCACAAAGACAAAAUGCAUGAUAUCACAUAACUCAAUAUAAGCACACAAGACCCUCCAGUCACACAAUAUUUCCACUCAGGUAAGUACCAUGAGAAGACUCACUUCGUAAAUAAGCAAGUAGGUCUCGUACUCAACGAUCGGUCCAAAUUCUGCCUACAAGUCUUAAUAAUAUCUUAUUAACAGUUUAUAACAACAACUCCAAAGAUGUUAAACAAACCCCUUUUCUAACUCUCGAAAAGGGUGAAAUACCAUUUUACCCCUACAUGGUCUCCAAAGUCUAUAACUUGACCAAACCCUAAAAGUCAACGAAAGUUAACACUCGAGUCAACAUUCCAUGUUGACCUAACUCCUCGUGUGUAUCUAUGCGUCUUGUCGAGUAGAGAUUGAGAUAGCCGCGUGAUUUUUAGAGUCUGCUCGACGAGUAGGAGCUGAGUGUGAAAACCCUAAUUUUCAGGGUUUUGAUAGUUUGAUUUUGAUUACUUCUUUUCAUAGUUUAUUUUUAGUUAAAACCAUCUCAUUUUAUCUAAUCUUCAUGCAUAUUUUCUCUUUUUGUUAAUUUUCUCCUUUACCGGGUGCUUUCCAGUCUUGUGAGCUUAUUUGCAGGAUUUAUCGAAGACUUUGUUAUUGGAGGUAUGGAAAGAGUGGGGGACCUGCUGGAGGCUUGCAAUUUGUUCAUGGACUUGAAGUGGUGCAAUUGGGCUUGGUGUCAGCAUAAGUGAGAAGCGUUUUGGACUUAAUCUUUAGACGAAGAUUCGAGUUAAGGAAGACUAAUGAGGCAUUGGACCAUCAUUGGAGGCUUUGGAAUAACAUAAUUGGACUUCCAAGAAUUGAUGCAUUUGGGUCAGGAUGUUAAAGGAAGAUUGGGCUGGAUUACAUAUUAAUUGGGCCAAGGCAUUCAAUCAGCGAUACACACAUUGUCUUCGUGGAUCCACAAACGGUCCACGUGGAUCGUGCUGAAGUGAAUCAGGGUUUUGAAUUUUUGACUCUAUUUUGGGAAGGUUGGUGGAUGGUGGGGGACUUUUGAAUCCGGAAAUAAACACCUUUUUACUAAAGUUUUGGGGGCAUUUUUCAUUAUCAAUCACUUGGAAUAACUACUCUUUUGAUCUCAAGAAAAGUUUGGAAGAAAUUGAGGAUUUUGAAGAUUGGUGUAAUUUCAUUUCAUCUUGCACAUUAAAUCAUGUUUAGUAUCUCUAAACUAUCUUGUAGUUCUUUUACUUUGGCCAUGCUUGGCUAGAUUCUCAUUUUGUUGAUUAGGGUUAAAUCCCAUGGAUGAUGGUUGCUUUGAAGACUAAAUGUUAUCUUGUGUUUGAAGUUUAUGGAAAUGUUUUCUAGUUAAACAUCUUGUUAUGUUUAUUUAUCUUUGAUCAUGAGCUUUGAUGAAUGAAUGCUUAUUUUUUUUACUAAUUUCUUGGUUAAGUAAUGGACCCUCAAAUUAGUAUAUGUUUUUUUUUUUCAUUUCAUUUAGACCAUGGAAAUGUUUCCUCCAUAAUGAUAAUGUAAACAUUUGAUUAUCUUUUGGAUUUUUUAACUCUUAGAACUUAAAGCUAGUUGAUUUUCACAAGAUUAUUGAUUUUAUGACUUUAAUUAAGGAAAUGUGUUAAGAGCUCCUCUAGCCAUUUUAAUAACAAUGAAGAGUUGAGGUAAUUUGUGCUUAUGGAUUGCUAUAUCCAAGUUAAAUUAAUUCACAAGUGUUGUUCUGUUUAAUCUAAUGACAAGUUAACCAUGUCAUCCAUGUGGUGUACCCAAAAUAAGCAAAUUCGCUUCAUUGAAUUUAAAGAAAUCUUUUACUUGUUUACUUGUCAUACUUAUAUUCUAACUUAGUUUUAAUUUUGUCAAACAAUCAAAAAGAAUAACCCCCCCCCCUUUACUUUUACUUUUGUUUUACAAGUACUUGAACAAGUGAUUUACAUAGAGAUUUAAAUUGAACCAAUCUCCGUGGAAACGAUCCCUUUACAACUAUACACUACUUUAGUGUGUAAUAUUCAGGGUAUUUAUUUUGUUGGCCUCGACAACCACCACAUUUUGGCGCCGUUGCUGGGGAUUGGUUUAUUUUUAAUCAAUUUUUGUCUCUAUGCCCAAAUCUUAACGUAUAGGUGCUUUGAUUUAUAAUCCGGAAAUUGAAAAAGAAGCAAAGCGUUUGGCGAAGGAAAAGAGAAUAGAACGUGGUCAAACUUCUAAUCCUCAAUGGGAUCCGGAGGUUGAACCCGCUUCAUCAAGUGAUACGAAACCUGAUUCUAGUCCCGACCCUCACCAAGAAAUUCCUGAAACACCACCUCUACAACAAAAUCCACCAAUCAUAAACCCAAUUGAAAUGGCAAAAGGAGGGGAAUCUCCCGAAAGUACCUUGAGGCAAAUGAUGGAAACCGAUGUUACACAAACUCAAACCGGUAUCAAUUAUCUCGUUUUGUAAGGAGGUUCGAAAUUGAUGUCAAGUUUAUCCAUCACCUUCCAACUUUUCAUGGAUUAGAGAAUGAAGACCCCUAUAAGCAUUUAAAUAUGUUCCAUAUAAUUUGCACUAGUAUGAAGCCACAAAGGUCAACCGAUGACCAAAUGUAGCUAAGGGCAUUCCCCUUUUCAUUGGCUGAUAGAGAAAAAAAUUGGCUAUUCUAUCUCCCCCUGGGGUCAAUCAACGCAUGGACUGACAUGGCAAGAGCUUUACUUGACAAGUCUUAUCCCACUUCAAGAGUCUCCAGUCUUAGAAAUGAGAUUUGUGGAAUCCGCCAAGGUCAAAAUGCGACUUUUCAUGAUUAUUAGGAGAGGUUCAACAACUUGUGCUAUAGUUGUCCAUAACAUCAAAUUCAAGAACAACUCCUCAUUCAAAACUUCUACGAGGGAUUGUUACCAAUGGAGAGAAGAUUAGUUUAUGUCUCAAGUGGGGGUGAUGUCUUUAGUAAAUCUCCACAACAAACCAGACAACUUUUCAAUACCAUAGUCGUGAAUUCCCAACAUUUUGGCUCACGCCAAGAUAUGAAGAGAGAAACUCAACAAAAAGUCAACUAAGUGGGUACAUCGAAUCUAGACUCUCAAAUCAAAGAUUUAACAUCCAUUGUUCAAAAGUUAGCUAUGGGACAAACUCCAUAAGUGAUGGUUUGUGGGAUAUGUGCAAGAAUGGGACAUCCUAGGAAUAUGUGUCCCAUUCUUCAAGAAGAUGCAGAACAUGUGAAUGCCACGGGAGAAUUCCAAAAUUACCACAACAAACCAUCCGGUUACCAAAAUGAAUACAAUUCAAGUUGGAAGCCAAAUCCCAAUAUGAGCUACAACCUUAGACCAUUGCCUCAAAAUGCAUUGGUUAGACCUUCUUAUCCACCAUAAUAACCUCAUUACCAACACCCAAAACCACAUUAUCAACCUAAACCACACCCUCCACAUCAUCACCAACAACCUCUUCAAUCCCAACCAAGUAGCUCCGGAAUGUCUCUUGAAGACAUUGUCAAAUUGUUAGCCACUAGUACGCAACAAUUCCAAAAAGAGACAAGGACUAGUAUCUCCAACCUUGAAGCACAAAUGGGAGAUGUACUUACAUCUAUAAGAAAGUUGGAGUCCCGUGGAAAACUCCUUUCUUAAACCGAAAAGAACCCAAAUGUUAAUGUGGUGACCAUGAGAAGUGGUAAACAAACCAAAGAAAGUAGUACAAAAAAGAAGUCAAUGGAACAGGAGGAAGAAAUACAGAUCACUCCCGUUGAGGAUCCCGUUGUUAAGAAUGCUACACAAGUCGGAGUUCCAAGGAAGAUUAGCUCUCUAGUGACUCCAAUAACUGCUCGACCAUCAUUCCCCUCCCGACUUGCAACUUCAAAGAAAAAUAUGGAGUAGAAAGAGAUCUUGGACACCUUCUGAAAGUUGGAAGUGAACAUCCCUUUACUUUAUGCAAUCAAAUAAAUCCCUAGAUAUGAAAAAUCCUUGAGGAACUUUGUACCAACAAGAGGAAAUUAAAGGGAAAUGAGAAAAUCUCAACGAACAAAAACACAUCUGCGGUUUUGCAAAGGAAACUUCCACCUAAGCGCAAAGAUCCAAGAAUGUUUACGGUUCCUUGUAAGAUUGGGGAUGUCACUUUUAGUAGUGCCAUGCUUGAACUUGGUGUUUCUAAUAAUGUCAUGCCCUUUUUCGGUGUAUGAAUCAUUGAAUGUCCGACCUUUGAGUGAAACUGGAGUCAUAAUAUCUCUUACGGAUAAAUCAAGUGUCUUUCCUAGAGGCGUUUUGGAAGAUGUUUUGGUUCAAGUGAACCAAUUGGUCUUCCUGGCGAAUCUCUAUGUGAUUGAUUUAGAAGAACAAGUGUCCUCCAAGUCGGGUCUAAUUUUACUUGGGAGAUCAUUUUUGAAGAUGGCUAGAACGAAUAUUGAUGUGUGUGCGGGAAGCUUAACAAUGGAUUUUGAUGGGGAAACAAUAAGUUUCAAUAUCUAUGAUGCUAUGAGAUAUCCUAGUUAUGUUUCAUCUUUGUGUUUUGUGGAUUUUGUCGAACCAUUCACCCAAGAAUUGUUUGAGUUGUCUAAUGGUGACAUGUUGGAGAUGAUUUUAAGCAAAGGAUUUUAUUGUGGAAAAUUAGCCAAGAAGUUGAAGCUCUACUCGUUAGACCCGGAAGUUGAAAGAUUGGUUAACAAUUUGGAGAUCAAGAAAAUCACUCAAUUCAGUGUGAAGCAAAUUGAGUUACCUCAAAUCCACACAAUAUUGCCACCCUCCCGUGUUCAACCACCGAAACUAGAAUUGAAAGUCCUAGCUCAACAAUUGAAAUAUGCGUACUUGGGAAACAACGAGACUCUUUCGGUCAUCAUUUCUACCCACUUAACUGACUGUGAAGAAAACCAACUUCUCAAGGUGUUGAAGGAAGAUAAAGAAGCAAUGGGUUGGACAGUUGUAGAUAUCAAGGGAUUGAGCCCCUUCACUUGUAUGCACAAGAUCUUGAUGGAGGAUGAAUGCAAGCCGGGUCGGGAUGUGCAAAGAAGAUUGAACCCGCCUAUGAUGGAAGUUAUGAAGAAAGAUAUUUUGAAGCUCCUUGAUGCAGGGAUGAUCUAUCCAAUCUCGGAUAGCAAGUGGGUGAUCCUAGUGUAUGUUGUGCCAAAGAAGACGGGAAUCACGGUGGUCGAGAACAAUAAAGGUAUGAUGGUCCCCACCCGCAUGCAAAAUGGGUGGAGAGUAUGCAUUGACUACCGCAAGCUCAAAGCAAGCAAAAGAAAACAUCAUUUUCCAUUGCCUUUCAUUGACCAAAUGUUAGAAAGGUUGGCCAGAAAAUCUCACUAUUGUUGUCUCGACGGGUACUCCGGUUUUCACCCAAUCCCGGUGGCACUGGAAGACCAAGAAAAGACAACAUUUACAUGUCUAGUUGGCACUUUUGCAUACCGGAGAAUGCCAUUUGGAUUGUGUAACACCCUGGACACUGUCCAACGUUUCAUGAUUAGUAUCUUUUCAGAAUAUGUUGAAAACAUAGUUGAGGUUUGUAUGGAUGACUUUAGGGUAUAUAGGAACUCGUUUCAAGAAUGUUUGACCAACCCACCAAAAUCUUAAAAAGAUGCAUUGAAACGAAUUUAGUUCUAAAUUUUGAGAAAUGCCAUUUUUUGGUAAGUUAAGGUCUUAUUUUAGGUCACAUUGUGUCUAAGAAAGGAAUUAAGGUAGAUAAGGCCAAAAUAGAUCUUAUUCAAAGCUUACCUUACCCGAUUUGUGUUCGGGAAGUUCGUUCUUUUUUGGGCCACGCAGGUUUCUACCGAAGGUUUAUCAAGGAUUUUUCAAAGAUAACAACACUAAUGUGCCAACUCUUACAAAAGGAUGUUGAUUUUGAGUUCAAUGACGCAUGCAAAGAAGCUUUCGACAAGCUCAAAGAGUUUCUUACAUCUGCUGCUAUCAUGAAAACACCAAAUUGGGAUCUCCCCUUCGAGAUCAUGUGUGAUGCAAGCAACUAUGCUAUAGGUGCCAUUUUGGGUUAAAAGAGUGGAAAAGCCUCCCAUGUGAUUUACUAUCCAUCGACAACACUAGACAAUGCUCAAAGAAACUACUCUACCACGGAGAAGGACCUAUUGGCCAUAGUGUUCACUUGGGAGAAGUUUAUACAAUACCUACUCGGUACCAAAGUCAUAGUGUAUUCGGAACACACGAUACUCAAGUACUUGAUGACAGAGAAACAUGCAAAACCAAGACUCAUCCGGUGGAUCCUACUAUUGCAAGAAUUAUAUUUGGAGAUUUGGGACAAGAGUGGAAGCAAGAACCUUGUUGACGACCACCUAAGCCGGAUCACUUCAAAUGAGACUCUUUUCCCGUUGCAGGACGAGUUUUCGGAUGAGCAUCUCUUUUCCCUUACUCAAUCUAUUCCUUGGUAUGCCACUAUCAUUUACUUCUUGGUCAUGAAAAUGUAUCCCGACACAUUCACCCAUGCUCAAAAAGACAAACUAAAAAGUGAUGCAAAGUAUUAUGUGUGGGAUGAACCUUAUUUGUGGAAACAUUGUCCUGAUCAAAUCAUCAGGAGAUGUGUGCCCCAACAAGAACAUCAAUCUAUUUUGCAAUUUUGUCAUGAAUUUCCUUGUAGGGGACACUUUGAACCUAGCCGAACCUUGAGAAAGGCUCUUGAGUGUGGACUAUUUUGGCCAACCAUGUCACACGAUUGUUACUUGUUUUGUAAAAGUUGUGAACGGUGCCGAAGGACGGGGAAUAUUUCACAAAAGAACCAAAUGCCAAAAAUCCAAUCCUUAUUUGUGAAGUUUUUGACGUAUGGGGGAUUGAUUUUAUGAGCCCAUUUCCCGUCUUAUUUGGCAAUGUUCAUAUUUUUCUCGCGGUUGACUAUGUCUCUAAAUGGGUUGAGGCCGAAGCCACAAGAUUGAAUGAUGCCAAAACGAUUAUCGACUUUGUAAAAUCUAACGUAUUUGUAAGAUUUGGUGCGCCUAGGGCUUUGAUUAGUGAUCGAGGGACGUAUUUCUGCAACAAGAAGAUGAAGGCUUUAUUGAAGAAGUACAAUGUGACCCAUCGCGUCUCAACCGCCUACCACCCUCAGACGAACGGUCAAGCGGAAGUUUCAAAUCAUGAGGUGAAGAGUAUUCUUGAGAAAACAAUGAAUGCGACAAGAAAGGAUUGGAGUUUGGGGCUUGAUGAUGCCUUGUGGGCCUCUUUGACCGCUUACAUGACCCCGAUAGAAUGUACCCAUUUAAGUUGGUUUUUAGAAAACCAUGUCAUAUUCCAGUGGAAUUGGAGAACCAUGCAUUCUGGGCGGUCAAGCAAUGUAAUUUCAAUAUUGAUGAGACGGGAAAACAUAGGAAUUUUCAACUUCAAGACUUAGAAGAAUUGAGAAAUUACUCUUAUGAAAACUCAAGGAUUUAUAAGGAGAAAACAAAACUUUUCCACGACAAGUCCAUCACCUACAAACACUUUGAACCGGGACAUAGGGUUUUGCUUUACCAUUCGCGAUUGAAGUUAUGUCCUAGAAAAUUGAGGUCCAUAUUGAUAGGCCCAUUUGUUAUGCUAAAAGUCAUUGAGCAUGGAGUAGAUGAAAUACAAAGUGAAGAAAUGGGACAAAUUUUUCAAAGUCAACGGGCAUCGUUUGAAGCCAUUCUAUGAAGGUUUUAAUGCAAAUGCCCUUGAAAUCAUCCAUUUGGAUGUCCCGAGGUGUUGAAUCAAGCUGGAAGGACGUCUCGCCAAAGACGUUAAAAAUGGGCAUUUUUGGAAAACUUAAUGUUUUCAUGUUUUCUAAUUCCGCAUAAACACAUUAGAUAAAUUCUUUUUGCAUUUCCCCUUUCUUCUUCUUCCUUCUUGCAGCAAAAGAGUGUUGAAUUUUAAACCCCGAUGUUCAUAUUGGCCAAGGGCAAAGAAUUAAGAAGGUUUCUGCAAGACACACGCGGUCCACGUGUACUCGAAAAGUAGUCCGCAUGGGUUAUAAAAACGGACUGUGUGUGUUAUAAAAACGGACCGCAUGUGGCCAAAAAAUUUGACCGCAUCAUUCUUCAAAUUCAGAUGAUUAUAGAACUUUUUACGCGGACCCUGUGUGAUCGGAGUCCUGUCUGCGUGAAUAAACAAAGGUGGCGCAUAUGAUCGCUGCUAAAGGACUGUGUGAAAAUGCCAAUUUGGGAUUGUUUUAGUGCAAUUCACGCGGACCGAAUGUACUCCAGGGACCGUUCGCGUGAGGUGUUGACUUUCGUUAACCCAUGUUUUGACCAGGUUUGAGCGCGAAUUAAACUGUUGGAUUAAUGUCUAAGUCCAUAACUAUAAUUGGUAAGACUUGACCCGACCCGACAUGGUCCAUUUGGGUUGCAUGGCAUCAUGCAUUUGGAUAGACUAUAAUGAGAGAAAUAAGACACUUAUGGUUAUUAAUAUAUUAUAAGUUCUAGUAUAUUAAUAAUAAGAAUAAUAAGAUUAUUUAAUUAGUAUUGAUCAAGAAUUAAUCUAAGAUUAAUUAAGUGAUCAAAAGAAGACUAAUUAAAUAUAUGGGUUGAUUGUGUAAAUCAUCCUUGUAUAGUGGGCUAAUGCUCCAUGGAUAAUCAAGUUGGGCUAAAACCCAUAGGAUGGUCCAUGGAUGCUCCAUGGUGUAUGUGAACCCAUGGAUCCAAGGAAAUGGAAAGUCAUGACAAUUAGGGUUUACCCUAAUUGUAACACUAUAUAAAGAUCUUAUUCUUGACAAAAUCGGCCAACAGAGUGACAAAAGAAAGGGCUAGCCGAUUUUCAUGAGUGUAGAAUUCUCUCAACUUAUUCCAAGUGUAUUUGGUGUUGUGUGAACCAUUUGAGGUGUCACGCUUGGGGCACUUGGCACUCAAGCUUCAUGAAGACUUUCUACAUCAAAGAGGUAUGUAUUCUAUCUUGUUACACUCAUUGUUUUGUAUGCUAGAUUAGGAUAAUACCUUGGAAGUUCUUAUUUGCAUGUAUAAUAGAGAAAACAUAGAUCCAAGGUAUUUAGGGUUGCAUGUACACUUAGGAGUGUUAGAAUGCUCAAAACCCAACAGUGGUAUCAGAGCCUAGGCUUGUUUUCUUGUUAUACUUGCAAAAGAAGCUGAAAAAACGAAUCUGGUGCUGUCUGGCCAUCAGACUCGGCGAGUCCAUCAGGAGACUCGACGAGUCCAUGCCUAAAAAGUGAUGAAUUCGAUCCAACUCGCCGAGUUUGUUCAUGCACUCGACGAGUUGGACCCCCAGACAGCAUAUUUUCGAGUUUUUUGGCUAGAAAUGGACUAGGAACAUUACCCUAAGUUGUUUUUGAACUUAUAAACUUGUUUUUGAUGUGGUAAUGUUCAUGCUAAUCCAUUUUCAAAGAUAAUUGUCAAUAGAUUCAUGUUUUGUAUUAGUUUAAGGUUUAGACUAAUUACAUGAAAAAGUUUGAUUUGAAUUAUCUUGUUCUUAUGAGUUGCUUAGAUUAAUAGAAAUGUUGAGUGAAAUAGUUGUUUUCAAUCCAUUUUAAUCUAAGAGUUGAGUAUAAAAUGUGUUUGUGUAACUUGUCCUCAAGUUACAUGAAGAGUCACAUUAAAGACUCAUAAAAUUCAUAAGAGUUGGCAAUGGUUACAAAAUGAAGAGUCUUGUGUCAUUGAAUAAUUUUUUUUGACUCCAUAACUUGUCCUCAAGUUAUGGAAGUUCAAGAGUCACUUCAUUAAAGAAAAAUAUGUAACCAUAAUUAAAUCCAUAAGUUAUAAAAUAAAGAAAAAGUUAGUUCUUUUAUUAGUUUAAAGUCUUCCAUAACUUGUCCUCAAGUUAUGGAACUUGAAGAGUUUUUGGAUUAAAACUACUUUAAACACAUAAGUUAUGGAAUUAAUUAGUUUUGAAUAGUUUCAAAACUUGCCCUCAAGUUUUGGAAUUUGAAAAGUUUUCAAGUAUGAAUACUUUAAUUCCAAGUUAGCCCUUAGAAUUUUAAAAGUUAAAAUUCAACCCUUAUACUUUAUAAUAUUAUAAGUUAAUAAUAUAUAUAUGUAUAAGAGUAAAGUCAGUCUUACCGCUAGUACGCCUCAUUCACGAAGCCGGUCUAUAAGGUGGGUAUAAGGUUGUUGCCUAUAAAAUGGCAACUUAAUGGGUGUCCACUCUCACCCACCGCUUGCUUGACUGGUGGAGGGUCGUUAGCCGAACGGGUUUGACAGGACUAGAAUUCUCCCUUCAUUAAAAGUAUUAAUGAUAAUACUAAGUAACUAAACUCUUAAUAAUACCCAAUCUUAGUUACUUAGGAAAAAUGUGAAUAAGGUGCUAAUCCAUGAAAUUACACUUUACACUUUGUCUAAGUCGUUAGUGGAGCGUGUGUGGUUAACCGGCACACUAACUUGGACUUAACAAGGUAGGUAAAGGGUGACUUAAUAUUUAUCAUAGUAUCGAUGGAGCGUGUGUGGUUAACCGGCACAUCGAUUGAGGGGUAAUUUAUUAAGGGUACCAAGUGAUUUGCAUGGUUACUUCACACCUUGUUUUGUGAUCCUCGGCAUCCCAGUCACAAAACCUGAAGGGCACACUCGAGAUUGAAACAUGCCUUUGAAAAGUUCAAUGAAUCUCAAAGAUCUAGGAGUUUCAAAACCAAUUAAAACCUAAUAAUACAUUUCGUUUAUCUUGGUGGAAAUUGGUGAAUCGUCAUUCACCUACCUUCAAAUAUUUUAUAGCUUGGAUUACGGCAUACCUCUUCUAAGUUAUAAAAUAGUUUGUUGGGUCCUAGCCUUAAUAUUUCAUAUUGGGUGUCAUAUUAAGGACUUUAAAUCAACUAUCUUGAAUAUCUCCCAAAAGAUGUCUGGUUUAGACACCUAUGAUCUUCCCAAAUCUCUUGAAACAAGGUUUCCUAAUGAAGAUGAUGUCCCAUGGAUAUCAUACUUCUUCACCUCUUCAAAUUAUUCUCCCUAACCCACAAGUUCUUGAAAAGUUUAAGGUCACUCAGGCCCUAUUGGCAAGGCAAGGUCUAGGUGUGGUCACAUCUUGGAGAUGUAGUCACAUAUUGACAAGCCGGGAGAGUUGGGUGUCAAAGUCUUGAGAAAGUUGGUGGUUCAAUCACUUUCUAAGUCACAUAGUGAGUUCCUUUGGGACACCUAUGAAACAGACUAUGACAAGACCCUUAAUGAUCUUAUCUAUUUGCUAAGAUCAACUUCCUAAAACUUUAUGGACAUUGACAAUGAUGACAUUGGAUAUCCAGUAAAGCAUUCUCUUCCCAAUGGAAAGGGAUCGGCCAUAGUCAACUCGGUUGACCAAAUGGUAAAGAGAAAAGCUAAGUCUGUGAUAGUCCCGUGUACCAUUAUCAAAGGGUCCAUAUGUUUAUAUUGCCAAAGGAAGGGGCAUUGGUUGCGAAGCUGCCAAAUUUACCUAAGGAUGUUAAAGUCAAUAAGUUUGACUCUACUUCAGGUAAAGUCCACUAUCUAACUCUGUUAAGUUUCUAUUCUGAGAUUCUUGAUACAUGAUGUGACUGGGUCACAUGGUGAUGUUUUAAGAAUCAAAGAAAAGUGAAGAAACUUAAAGAAAGAAUAUGCUGAAUCUGAUGGCGUAGAUGGAUUUCUAUCGCAUAGUUUGAAGAUCGGAUUCUUGAGCUACUUCUUAGGAGUUAUGAGAUAUUGCUUAGGAAUAGAUAACAACAAGUUUUCAUAUGGAUUGUAAGGAUAAGUUUUUCCGCAAAGUUUUAAAAUAAAAGAAAAUUUUUUUGAUUUUAUUUAUUUUAAAAUAUCCUUACAAUGGCAUUUGAGGAAAAAUUGUUGCUUAUAUGAUUUCGUUAAUAGCAAGAGUGGAAAUAUGAAAUUGAUUCUGUCAUUUGUGGUAAUGUCUAAAUUACCAAAUAAAGGAAGAUUCUCAUCACCCAAGUUUCAUUUGGACCGGAACUUGGAAUCAUGCAAGUUGUAUAGCAUGAUGAAUGAGAACUUUCAAGUAUUGGAAAAUUAAGACUAAUUACUUGUUCACAUGGAUGUGUGAGUCAAGUGAAGGACUAAGGGAUCGAGUACACAUUCUUGUGCACUGGUCAAGUCCACCACAAAAGAUUGAUAAAACUAUUCGUUAUAGUUUACAAAAGCUUAGUAAAUAUGAUUAUACUUACAAGCUUAAGUGUAACUCUGAGACAUUGGAAAAAGGUUCCAAUGUAUGACAGAGCGAAUAAGAAGAAUCAAAUUAGGCAGAAGGAUAAAAGUUUCUCAAAUCUGAAAAGAUGGGAGAGUACUUUAGUAUCAAUUUUUGUGAUCAUCUUAAUGAUUAAGAAACCAUAUCAAAAUUAGUUCUCUAAGGAAAUCUUAGUGCAUUCUUAUGACUAAGAAGAGGAACUUGAAUUGUUGAAAUGGUUAAAUCAAGAAGAUGAGUCAUACUUCGUUCCAAUACAAGUCUUAGAGUCAUACUCCAAGAUUGUCAUUUGAGUGACAUGUCUUAAAGAAGGUUUAAAACACUUGUCAAAUGUAAGAGUAAAAGUUUUCUACUCUUGUACAUUUGAAAUUGGUAAGUUGUGAUGUUUUGGAUAAAACAAAGACCAACUUAGGCCAAUUGGGUGAAGUGUUUAUCUUGAUAAAGAAUAUGCACUAUCCCUUGAAUAUGUGACAAGAGAGUCUUAUAUGUCAAGAAGACAGUGGGAGUCUUAAAGGUCUUGAAAGUCUCAAGAACUAAUCAAGAAUAAAACCUGAAGUUCUUCACUAGCACACGACUUGAGGUUUAUAACCUAUCGUGUUGACAUAUUUGUGCCCAUUCCAGUUAAAGUUGGCUUUGCAUAUGAGUUCUUAGAGUUCUCAGUUUGUUGCAUAACAACUUGGAAGCAAUGGCAGGCCCUUGAGCUGCCAGGUGGCAAGAAGUUAAGAUUGAGUUCAAUCCAUAUGGUUUUGGAUUUGUCAUUAUCUUUGUCUUGUGAUUAUGGUUUGACAAAUUCAUAUGGGUAGGAACUCAUACACCAUAUAAAUCUAAGUGUCAUAAGGUUUCUCUCCGAUUCAUGAAAAUGAUGGUGAGGAAACACUUUCACUAAGUAGAUUUUAUCUAGAUAGCAAUUGUGAUAUUUGCAUUCUCAAAGUCGUUAGUGGAGCGCGUGUGGUUAACCGGCACACUAACCUGGACUUGUGAGAAGUGGCAAAAAGGUCUAACCAUUAUGAUUACGGCAUACCUCUUCAUAAUUGUUUAGACUCACAAGUGUGCUAUCUAAGGGAAGGUGUAUGAUUUUGAUAAAGUCUUAUCAAAACAAUCUAGUAUCAGAAAUCUGAACUUUGGUAAGAAAGUCAAUGAAGUAUUGAUUUCUAGAAGUCCAGCUGAUUUCUGAGUACAUGUCAAAGCUAGUGGGAGCAUAAGUGUUAUGCUAAUAAUCAUCAUGUUAGUGGGAGCAUGAUAAUUAUGAUAAGUAUUGCAAGUUAGCAAUGUUAAUUAUAGAAAACAAAAGUUUCAAUUGGGAAAAAGUUGUUUUGCUAUAAUUAAGGGAGAGGAAAUUAUGCUUCAUCUCAAAUCUAUAAGCUUAGAUCGUGAGGUUUUAAUCAUUUAGUCAAGGAUAUAUAUGAAUUUCAUGUUGGAAUGGCUCAACAUAAGGAAAUUCUGUAUAUGGGUCCAUUAUUUGCGUUCUAAAAUUCGAUUAUGAUUACGGCAUCCCUUUUCAUAAUCUGAAUUAUGAGAACUUGGCAAAUUGAAAUGGAAAUAUUAUAGCAAAAGACUGGUUUAGUCUUUAUGUAAGACAUCAUGAAUCGUGUCCCAUAUGCUUCGGAUAUAGGAUCGAUUACAUGUGCUAUAUUCAUCCGUUCUAAAAUUUUCCAAAUGCCUGGGGCAUUAAGAAGGGAAAAGGUUUAGAACUGGAUAUGACUAAAAGGAUUAAACAAUUGUCGAGGACAAUCUAAGGUUUACCAAAGAUUGGUUGCUCAAGGACAAUUGGAAGUAUAGUGAUAAUUCUGGAAGGACCAUAUUGACAUAAUCUGUAAGGAGGCAACUCUUGUUCAGAAGUGAUAGUCAAAAUGGAAUCUGGAAAUGUUUCAAAGUUAGAAUUUUCAAUCUGUGUAAGAUUAAGGAAACUUAAUGCAAGAAGGAUAUUUCCAAGGAGUUGAUCUCCUUUGGAAUACUCUGUAAUGAUUGUUGCCAAGUCUUUGUGACUUUGUGCAUAAUCAUUACAAGAGGAUCAAUGCAUAUAAGUUUAGAAUCUAACAGAUUUCAGUAAAUGGCAUGAAUUUGGAAUUCUUGCAUUUGCAGUAAGGAUUUGGGAGUGUGAAAAGAGAAUCAUUGAAGUUAUGUUCAAUUGAUCUAGUUCACAAAGUAAAGAUCAUAGACAAACAUAGUAUGCAUACUUGGUGUGUGGCAUGACUAGUGUUUAAGAAAACAUAGUGUACAUGCUUGGAGCAUGGGACAACUAUUGUUUUAAAUUCAAGAAUAAAGUUGAUAGCUGAAACAGUAUACAAUGAAUAAUGUGUAAUCAUAUGGUGAUAAAUAAAAGGUGUUUUAUUUAUGUUCAAAGGGUUGAUACCAUAUUGGAUUCAAUUAUUAUUGUGUUUCAUUUUGCAUGUUUUGACUUCCCGAAUAAACUGGGUUAUUCUUCCGGAAUGACUAAGUUAUUCAAACCAUCCACAGUCGGUCAUAUGUUGGAAGUAGAUAUGAAUUAAGACUGUCAUGGGUUGGCUUGUAGAGGUCUAAGGUGUUGGACAAAGGGCUACAACACUCAUGAGUGCUCAUAAGUUCUGAGUAUUGGAUUCAACCCGCGCUCAUUGGAAUCACUUCAUGGAUUUUAUCACGAGUGAUCAUGAGACGAUAAUAUCUUAUAUUCUUCAAACCUAGAGAUAUGAGUUGUUACUAUGAGUUGAUAGUACAUUGAUUGCACGAAAACGCAUUUGGUAACUCGGUGCUAUAAAACGUGCCUUUGUGUAUGAUUCAACAAGUAGUAGAACAAGCCAUAUGAGUCGAAGUUUAUCCAUUCCUUUUACCUUCGGGAUAAAAGCGAUAUCUGUGGGCCCCUCGAUGAUUUGAUGAUGACAAAUGGAAGUGCUCGGCCGGGCCAGGACUGAUUUGAUUUGUUCAAUUAGUCAGUCGUCAUAAAUCGGAAAUCAGGAAACAACAAAUGGACAGAGAGAAUGAUUAUAAUCCAUGUCUCAAUCCGUAUGAUAUCUAGAAUGGAGGAAUAUAUGAUCCCUUAUCUAAUGGACAAGUCACUGACAAAGGUUAGAGUUCAUCUACAAGGUCAGAGUUCGACAGAAGCUUUUGAGAGCUACGAUUGCCAGUUGGUUCCUGAAGUCAUACGCAAUAAUAGUUUUAGACUUAUCCAAGUGGGAGACUGUUGGAUUAAUGUCUAAGUCCAUAAC